GCACCAGCACGAUCUUCUUGUCACCGGCGUCACACCAUGAUCUCCAUCAUCAUGAUCUCCAUCAACGUGUCGCCAUCGGGGUUGUCGUGCUACUCAUGCUAUUACUACUAAAGCUACGUCCUAGCAAUAUAGUAAACGCAUCUGCAAGCACAAAUGUUAGUUUAAAGACAACCCUAUGGCUCCUGCCGGUUGCCGUACCAUCGACGUGCAAGUCGAUAUUAACUAUUACAACAUGAUCAUCACAUACAUCCAAUAUAUCACAUCACAUCGUUGGCCAUAUCACAUCACAAGCAUACCCUGCAAAAACAAGUUAGACGUCCUCUAAUUGUUGUUGCAUGUUUUACGUGGUGACCAUGGGUAUCUAGUAGGAUCGCAUCUUACUUACGCAAACACCACAACGGAGAUGUAUGAAUUGCUAUUUAACCUCAUCCAAGGACCUCCUCGGUCAAAUCCGAUUCAACUAAAGUUGGAGAAACUGACACUCACCGGUCAUCUUUGAGCAACGGAGUUAAUCGUACCGAUGAAACCAGUCUCUCGUAAGCGUACGAGUAAUGUCGGUCCGAGCCGCUUCAAUCCAACAAUACCACGGAAUCAAGAAAACACUAAGGAGGGCAGCAAGACGCACAUCACCGCCCACAAAAAAUUUUGUGUUCUACUCGAGAUUACAUCUACGCAUGAACCUAGCUCAUGAUGCCACUGUUGGGGAACGUCGCAUGGGAAACAAAAAAUUUCCUACGCGCACGAAGACCUAUAAUGGUGAUGUCCAUCUACGAGAGGGGAUGAGUGAUCUACGUAGCCUUGUAGACCGUACAGCAGAAGCGUUACUGAACGCGGUUGAUGUAGUGGAACGUCCUCACGUCCCUCGACCCGCCCCGCGAACUAUCCCGCGAUCAGUCCCACGAUCUAGUGCCGAACGGACGGCACCUCCGCGUUCAGCACACGUACAGCUCGACGAUGAUCUCGGCCUUCUUGAUCCAGCAAGAGAUACGGAGAGGUAGAAGAGUUCUCCGGCAGCGUGACGGCGCUCCGGAGGUUGGUGAUGAUCUUGUCUCAGCAGGGCUCCGCCCGAGCUCCGCAGAAACGUGAUCUAGAGGAAAAACCGUGGAGGUAUGUGGUCGGGCUGCCGUGGAAAAGUCGUCUCAAAUCAGCCCUAAAACCUCCGUAUAUAUAGGUGGGAGAGGGGGAGCCUUGCCUUGGGGCUCAAGGAGCCCCAAGGGGGUCGGCCGAGCCAUGGGGGGAAGGUCUCCCCCCCCAAACCGAGUCCUACUUGGUUUGGUGGGUGGAGUCCUUCUUUCCUUUCCCACCUCCCCUUUUUUUUCUUUUUCUCUUUGAUUUUUCUUCCAAUGCGCAUAGGGUCCUUUUGGGCUGUCCCACCAUCCCACUAAGGGCUGGUGCGCCACCCUCAAGGCCUAUGGGCUUCCCCGGGGUGGGUUGCUCCCCCCCGGUGAACUCCCGGAACCCAUUCGUCAUUCCCGGUACAUUCCCGGUAACUCCGAAAACCUUCCGGUAAUCAAAUGAGGUCAUCCUAUAUAUCAAUCUUCGUUUCUGGACCAUUCUAGAAACCCUUGUGACGUCUGUGAUCUCAUCCGGGACUCCGAACAACAUUUGGUAACCAACCAUAUAACUCAAAUACGCAUAAAACAACGUCGAACCUUAAGUGUGGAGACCCUGCGGGUUCGAGAACUAUGUAGACAUGACCCGAGAGACUCCUCGGUCAAUAUCCAAUAGCGGGACCUGGAUGCCCAUAUUGGAUCCUACAUAUUCUGCGAAGAUCUUAUCGUUUGAACCUCAGUGCCAAGGAUUCAUAUAAUCCCGUAUGUCAUUCCCUUUGUCCUUCGGUAUGUUACUUUCCUGAGAUUCGAUCGUCAUUAUCCGCAUAACUAUUUCAAUCUCGUUUACCGGCAAGUCUCUUUACUCGUUCCGCAAUACAAGAUCCCGCAACUUAUACUAAGUCACAUUGCUUGCAAGGCUUGUGUGUGAUGUUGUAUUACCGAGUGGGCCCCGAGAUACCUCUCCGUCACACGGAGUGACAAAUCCCAGUCUUGAUCCAUACUAACUCAACGAACACCUUCGGAGAUACCUGUAGAGCAUCUUUAUAGUCACCCAGUUACGUUGCGACGUUUGAUACACACAAAGUAUUCCUCCGGUGUUAGUGAGUUAUAUGAUCUCAUGGUCAUAGGAACAAAUACUUGACACGCAGAAAACAGUAGCAACAAAAUGACACGAUCAACAUGCUACGUCUAUUAGUUUGGGUCUAGUCCAUCACAUGAUUCUCCUAAUGAUGUGAUCCCGUUAUCAAGUGACAACACUUGCCUAUGGUCAGGAAACCUUGACCAUAUUUGAUCAACGAGCUAGUCAACUAGAGGCUUACUNNNNNNNNNNNNNNNNNNNNNNNNNNNNNNNNNNNNNNNNNNNNNNNNNNNNNNNNNNNNNNNNNNNNNNNNNNNNNNNNNNNNNNNNNNNNNNNNNNNNCCUCCCAAUACCAGCCGGGCGGAGCCCAGUCCCAGACAUGGCCCCUCUGAUCAAGCAGGUGUCCUCCGCCGAGUCGACGACGAGGAUGCGGGAUAGGCAUCGUAAAAUGAACUAAAAAAAUAAACUAGUUCUAUUAAUUUUCUUUCUAAAAAUAAACUAUUAACACUUAAGCAUAUACAAUAGCAAAAUUAAACUCUUAACACUUAAGCAUAUACAAUAGCAAAAUUAAGCAAUAAUCUAAGAAACACUAAUUAAGCAUCUAUAUACAUAGAAAUGUCUUCUUCUUCUUCNNNNNNNNNNNNNNNNNNNNNNNNNNNNNNNNNNNNNNNNNNNNNNNNNNNNNNNNNNNNNNNNNNNNNNNNNNNNNNNNNNNNNNNNNNNNNNNNNNNNNNNNNNNNNNNNNNNNNNNNNNNNNNNNNNNNNNNNNNNNNNNNNNNNNNNNNNNNNNNNNNNNNNNNNNNNNNNNNNNNNNNNNNNNNNNNNNNNNNNNNNNNNNNNNNNNNNNNNNNNNNNNNNNNNNNNNNNNNNNNNNNNNNNNNNNNNNNNNNNNNNNNNNNNNNNNNNNNNNNNNNNNNNNNNNNNNNNNNNNNNNNNNNNNNNNNNNNNNNNNNNNNNNNNNNNNNNNNNNNNNNNNNNNNNNNNNNNNNNNNNNNNNNNNNNNNNNNNNNNNNNNNNNNNNNNNNNNNNNNNNNNNNNNNNNNNNNNNNNNNNNNNNNNNNNNNNNNNNNNNNNNNNNNNNNNNNNNNNNNNNNNNNNNNNNNNNNNNNNNNNNNNNNNNNNNNNNNNNNNNNNNNNNNNNNNNNNNNNNNNNNNNNNNNNNNNNNNNNNNNNNNNNNNNNNNNNNNNNNNCUAUUACGUAGUCAUCAAAAACGUGUAUGUCAGAUGUUCGCAACAUCCACAGACGACGCUAGAGGUGCAGCACACCGAGUGGUGCGUUAAGGACAUAAGCCUUCUGCGCAGCAAUCAGGACAAUCGUAUCACUAGUGGGGACAUGGCCUAUAGCCCCGACCCAUAAGGGGCUAUAGUCCCGGUUCACCGGCCCUGUUCCAAGCCGGGACCAAAGGUGCUCCACGUGGGCGCCUCGGAGCGCCCUCACGGGCAGGCCNNNNNNNNNNNNNNNNNNNNNNNNNNNNNNNNNNNNNNNNNNNNNNNNNNNNNNNNNNNNNNNNNNNNNNNNNNNNNNNNNNNNNNNNNNNNNNNNNNNNACUAGCAUGGAUGAUACAGUAGCAAAGUGUGAACACCGACGAACAAAGUGAAAGCAUACGCAAGAAUUUAAAGUCGGUGAGAAACACGUACUCCCCCAAGCUUAGGCUUUUGGCCUAAGUUGGUCUACUACCCAGGAUGGUCCGGGCGAUACCCAAAAUCAUAAUGGGGGUUAUAUGGGAGUGCUGCCUGAAUAGCUGACUCACGGAGAUGAGCAGCCCUUGCCUCCCUGUCAUACUCCUCUGCCUCUCCUCUACUUAUGUAAUAUCUCCGUUUUACCUGAAAGUCAAAGAAGGUAGGAGCAGGAAGGGUAAUAUGGAAAACAAGUUGUCGGUUAAAUAUUAAACGGUAUAGGAGGGAUUCAUCAUCCCUCUCAAGGAACUGGUAGCGUGUCAAAGCGGCGCGGUCAAGGCAAGCUGUAUGGAGCGGGGGAUCUCCUUCGCGGAUGGGUACUCCAAGAAAAUUUGCUCUGCGAGUGGCAUAGAUCACACCAAAGAAAUCCCCUUCAUUAGCAUUAUUAUUCAGUCUCCUUGCUAUUAUAGCUCCCAUGUUGAAACUUCUAUCACCCAUUACUGCGCUCUUAGGAAUACUAAGGUUGGGUGCGUAUAGGUGACAAUGCUCAAUCUUGCCAUUAAUGCAUCGACCUAUGAAGAGGGUAAAGUAAUGCAAGGUAGGAAAAUGAAUGCUCCCCAUGGUAGCCUGCGUAAUAUCUCUAGUUUCUCCAACAGUUAUACCAGAGAAAAAAAUCUCUAACCGAAGAUUUAGGAGGAUCAUUGAGACUACCCCAAAUAGGUAUCUUGCAAAUUCUAUUGAAAUCCUCUAAAUCCAUGGUAUACGAUUUGUCAUAGAGAUCAAAUAGUACGAAUGUGUCACGGCCAACUGAAAAUAUGAAUCUAUGAACAAAAGAGGCAGUGAGAGUAACAUAUUGUUCACAUUUAUCGCAGAUGAAUUCUUCGAGUCCUACAUUGUGAACAAGUGUAUCAAACUCGUCUUUGAAACCUGCCUCAAUCAUGAAUUCAUCAGAAGGCCAUUCACAUGGUUGUACCUGUGUGUUCCUUGGUUGGUAAGGAUCGGGCUCCCGAAUCGCGAGACGGGGACCUCUUUUGCUAGAGGAACCACCAUGUUAGUUCCUCCUGAACAUCUUCCUUUUCUGAAAUUUUCAGCGACUCUAAGGAAAAGUGAACAAGGUCUAGCGAAAUUCGUAGCAACUACUCUCACAAGUGCCUAGAGGCCAUAUUACGCAUCAAAACUACUUGGGACCAGCUAAAAUUAGCAUGCAAAGCUCAAGAACAGGGUCACCAUGGCAGCAAAAAUACGCGACGUAUAAGGCACUAGAGCAAAAACUAAUUGGACCAAUGGAGGAGUCACUUACCAAGGAGCAAUUUCCCCCAAAACAGUUUGGUGAAUGGUGCUUUGCACAAGGAGAUCAAAAAUCCCAGCAAGAAGAGCAAGAACACGGGUUUGAUCUGCGAAACGAUUUUUUCUAGAGGUAGGAGAAGCAGAUGGGAGCUAGAAUGAGUGGAGGGGUGCACGUGGGCCCCACAAGCCUGGGUGGCGCGGCCAGGGGGGUGCCCACGCCUCCAGGGCUUGUGGCCCACUGGUGUAGCCCCCAGACUAGCUCUUCGUCUCAGUAUUUUUCAAAAAUUCCAGAAAAAAUCAUACUUGAUUUUCACGGCAUCCGGAGAACUUUUAUUUUUGGGGUACUUUUCCACGGGACGCUAAAACAGAAAAUAGGGAAAACUAAACUAAAUCUAUCAUUUUUCUACUAAGCAACCGAAGGUGAAAGCUUGGAACAAAGGUUUGUGACUCCUCGAUUCGUCCAUCUCAUGGUCAUCGAAAGAAAUUUGUCAAUGAGGUUGAUCAAGUCUCCUUGACAAACAUUUUCGAAUCGCAAAAGAGAACGGACAAUUUUCGAAUAGUCACUAGGUCACCUCAAUGGGGAUGUGCAUAUCCCCGACAAUCAAAUCAUACUUCAUCUUAACAGGAGGUAUAGGGCAUUCAAAGCUCCCAAUAAGAAUCGAUGAAGUUUUUUCGAUAGCAUUGAUACAAUGUGUUGGGGAACGUCGCAUGGGAAACAAAAAUUUUCCUACGCGCACGAAGACCUAUCAUGGUGAUGUCCAUCUACGAGAGGGGAUGAGUGAUCUACGUAGCCUUGUAGACCGUACAGCAGAAGCGUUACUGAACGCGGUUGAUGUAGUGGAACGUCCUCACGUCCCUCGACCCGCCCCGCGAACUAUCCCGCGAUCAGUCCCACGAUCUAGUGCCGAACGGACGGCACCUCCGCGUUCAGCACACGUACAGCUCGACGAUGAUCUCGGCCUUCUUGAUCCAGCAAGAGAUACGGAGAGGUAGAAGAGUUCUCCGGCAGCGUGACGGCGCUCCGGAGGUUGGUGAUGAUCUUGUCUCAGCAGGGCUCCGCCCGAGCUCCGCAGAAACGUGAACUAGAGGAAAAACCGUGGAGGUAUGUGGUCGGGCUGCCGUGGAAAAGUCGUCUCAAAUCAGCCCUAAAACCUCCGUAUAUAUAGGUGGGAGAGGGGGAGCCUUGCCUUGGGGCUCAAGGAGCCCCAAGGGGGUCGGCCGAGCCAUGGGGGGAAGGUCUCCCCCCCCAAACCGAGUCCUACUUGGUUUGGUGGGUGGAGUCCUUCUUUCCUUUCCCACCUCCCCUUUUUUUUCUUUUUCUCUUUGAUUUUUCUUCCAAUGCGCAUAGGGUCCUUUUGGGCUGUCCCACCAUCCCACUAAGGGCUGGUGCGCCACCCUCAAGGCCUAUGGGCUUCCCCGGGGUGGGUUGCUCCCCCCCGGUGAACUCCCGGAACCCAUUCGUCAUUCCCGGUACAUUUCCGGUAAUCAAAUGAGGUCAUCCUAUAAAUCAAUCUUCGUUUCCGGACCAUUCCGGAAACCCUCGUGACGUCUGUGAUCUCAUCCGGGACUCCGAAAAACAUUCGGUAACCAACCAUAUAACUCAAAUACGCAUAAAACAACGUCGAACCUUAAGUGUGCAGACCCUGCGGGUUCGAGAACUAUGUAGACAUGACCCGAGANNNNNNNNNNNNNNNNNNNNNNNNNNNNNNNNNNNNNNNNNNNNNNNNNNNNNNNNNNNNNNNNNNNNNNNNNNNNNNNNNNNNNNNNNNNNNNNNNNNNGGAUCUUAGAUCAAUGGGUUAGAUUAGAUGUGCAUACCCCUUCGGGUCUUACAAAAAAACCGAACCGGUUUUUCUGUCACUUAAACUGAGCCGGGUAGUUUUCUUUUCAUUGCGGCCGUGUGUUAGUUUUCCACUGUGUGUUAGAAUCUGUUUUCUCUUUUUCUAUUUAAUUCCAAAACAGAGAAAGUUUCAAAUUUGUUUUGAUCAUUGCUUUUGAUCCCGAAUUCCAAUGGAGUUGAAACUUGUUCCAGUAGAUCACAAUUAGUCUGUAGUUUGUAAAAACAUAUAAUUUGUCUAUGUUUGAUAUUUUCAAAUUUGAAUUAGAUCAGAUUUAGUUUAAACCUUGUUUUUCUUAUUCCAGGAGUUUAAAAAAUGAUUUUGAUUUGAUUCUUUUUGCUACUGCUUCCUAGUGAUUAUAUCUUACUGUGGUAUAAGGUUCAAAAAAAAUUAAAUAUUUUUACUUGGGGUUUUAACAGAAACAAGUUUCUGCCUUAGUGACGUAUAGUGAAUUCUUCCACUUAGGCCAUAGCAACUAUUUACUUGUGAUGUUAUUUUACUUGUUGUUUGAUUGUAGUGCUUAUGGUGUGUAUUUGUUUGUAUCGGUAGAUCACCCGGAGUGCGAAGCUUGUUACUUAGAAGCGCUCGAUCAAGACAAGUAUCAUCAAGGCAAGUCAUUUUGAUCAUACUAUCUCCUAUGUGGGGGGGGGGCCCAAUUGCAUGCUGCUUAGGUACUUGGAAAUUUUAGUAUAGGUUGUAGUAUCAUGUGGUAGGCACACAACAACCCCGAUACUUGGCCCCGGGACGACAAAUUUCUUAUUGCUAUGCUUGAGUAGACGGGAUUUCGGUUGAGUGCAUAACACGAGUGAUGCGAGGUUGAUUAAAUAACCAGGACCGGUUAAGACAAGAUUUUCAAGACCUCGUGAUGCAAUGCAACUCUGGGUGAAGGACGGUUGAUCGGCUCCCUAGAGAAACCAGUGGAUGACCCGGGAUGCUGGAGACGGCCAUGACAUCUUGCAGAAAGCUUCACCCAGGCUCGAAGAGACGGACGGAGGCUUCAAGAACCAAGGCUUACCUGCACAGCCACAAGUCAUUAUGGGCUCUGGCUUGGUUGGACAACGCGGCGACUCUGGACAGACGGUGCUAGCAGAUGUAGAAGAACGGUAGGAAUGGAUGGGCACCGACAGUGAUUCAGAGGGACCCGUUGAAAGACCAUGUUUUGAUCAUCCGGUCUUCAAACACCCUGAAGUGCGAGGACAUACUCGGAGGCGAUCAAAUCUUGUGGGGAACGUGUGCAAAACUCUGCAGAGUGCCCAACCUAAUCGAUUAGCCGUGUCCACGGUCAUGGACAACUUCAGCCGAAGGCAUUGAAAUUCCCCUGAACUCUCGACACAACUUAAUAAUGAUGUGGGUGUUAACAACAACUCGGGUACGAGAAUUGGUUGGCGGAACCAUUUCGUUAACAACAAACAUUGUAGUAACAUUUUGCUUUUCAGCCCCUCUUGAUGUAGGAGAAAAUUUGCUUUAUGAAAAUCUAUUAGCCCCACCUGCCAAAUAUGCAUGUAGAGAUAGUUGAUUAUUAUUUUUACCCCUCUCUUUGAUGACUUGCCGGCAUAUUCCAUAUGCUGACCUACACGGCUGUGACGUAUCAUGUUGCAGAGUACUUUUCCGACCAGGAGUGAGGCUACGAUCUACGCUCAGCGACAUGCCCUGGAGUCGGAUGGACUCGUCUACCUGAUGCUUCCGCUAGUCUUCGUUAGAUAUCUCAUGAGAUGGCCUUCAGCCACUUUAUUGUAAUCCAUUAUUGUAAUAAAGUACUCGAUAUGAGAUUUCGAUUAAUAAAGCUGUGUGAUUGAACUCUUGAUAUAUACAUUGAUGUACUGAGUGUGUACCAGCAUGAUCUUGGGAUGGUACGGAAACACCAGAGGCUUGACUCGUCUUGAGUCGGGUCGCUACAGCUCCCGGAAAAGAAGGAAUUCCUUAUUGAUAUGAGUAGUCUAUCUUCCCUAAUAAGCCAGGCUAUCACACAAGGUAUAGUGGGCAGUCCGGGAUCACCUAGUUUCUUACGAGUUCCACCCUUGAAGGUAUAAUUAGCAAGCAUGGUGGAAAUCUCAACCUCAGGUAUCCUCCUUCUAUUAAUAAAAAUAUCCUUCAUGUACUUAGCAUACAAAGACAAUUUGAGCAUAUCUGUCAAACGCAUUUGCAAGAAGACACGUCUAAUCAUUUCAACAAAUCGCUCAAAAUCUUCACCAUCCUUUUUCUUGGAUGAUUUGGGAGGAAAGGGCAUGGGUUUCUGAACCCAUGGUUCCCUUUAUUUACCAUGCUUCCUAGGAGCAAAGUCAUUAUCUUCUCUUUGGCUGUGGGUUAUCAAGAUCAAUAAGUUCAAUCUCAACAUCCUUAUCAUUGCUAGGUUGAGCAUCAUCAUGAACAUCACUAUCGAUAUUAUCAUUAGGCUCAUGUUCAUCGCCAGAUUGCGUUUCAGCAUCAGAGACAUCGUUUGGACUCUCAGAUGUAGCAGCAAUAGGGUUGCUAGCGUGCAAAUCCCUAUCAUCUUUCUUCUUCUUCCUAGGAUGACUAGGUGCAUCAGUGCUAACUCCUUGAGAAUCUUGUUCAAUUCUCUUAGGAUGACACUCAUGAUACAAAGGUUCCUGAGUCAUUCUACCGCCUCUAGUGACGACUCUAACGGAAUUGUCAUUCAACUCAUUGAGCAAGUCAUUCUGAUCCUUAAGUACUUGUUCUACUUGAGUAGUAACCAUAGAGGCAUGUUUACUCAGAAGCUUAAGAUCAUUGACAUUUCUGUCCGCACAAGUACUUAAAUGACUAAGCAUACGAGCAUUAUGUUCCAAUUGUCUGCUAACAUAAUCAUUGAAACUUUGUUGUUUGGCAACAAAUUAAUCAAAUUCAUCCAGGCAUAAGCUAGCAGGCUUAUCAAAAGGAAUAGCAGUCUUAUCGAAUAUACGCAGAGAAUUUACUUCUACUACCAGUAUCGGGUUAUCAAGACCAUGGAUCUCUUCGAUAGGUGGUUGAUUUUUGACAUAUUAAGAUUUAAUGCCUUUAUCUUUCAUAGAUUUCUUAGCUUCUUGCAUAUCUUCAGGACUGAGGAAUAGAAUACCUCUAUUCUUCGGAUUUGGCUUCGGACGUGGUUCGGGAAUAGUCCAAGCAUUCUCAUUGAACAAGAUAUUAUUCAAUAGGAUCUCAGCUCGUUCUACAGUUCGUUCCCUAAAAACACAACCAGCACAACUAUCUAGGUGGUCUCUAGAAGCAUCGGUAAGUCCAUUAUAGAAGAUAUCAAGUAUUUCAUUCUUCUCAAGAGGGUGAUCAAGCAAAGCAUUCAGUAGGUGGACGAGCCUCCCCCAAGCUUGUGGGAGACUCUCUUCUUCAACUUGUGCAAAGUUGUAUAUUUCCUGCAAGGCAGCUUGCUUCUUAUGGGCAGGGAAAUAUUUCUCAGAGAAGUAGUAAAUCAUAUUCUGGGGGCUACACACACAACCAGGGGAAAGAGAAGUGAACCAAGUCUUAGCAUCAUCCUUUAGCGAGAAAGGAAACAACUUGAGGAUAUAAUAGUGGCGGAUCUUUUCCUCACUCGUGAAUAGGGUGGCUAUAUCGUGCAGUUUGGUAAGAUGGGCUACAACCGNNNNNNNNNNNNNNNNNNNNNNNNNNNNNNNNNNNNNNNNNNNNNNNNNNNNNNNNNNNNNNNNNNNNNNNNNNNNNNNNNNNNNNNNNNNNNNNNNNNNUCCAUCAACGUGUCGCCAUCGGGGUUGUCGUGCUACUCAUGCUAUUACUACUAAAGCUACGUCCUAGCAAUAUAGUAAACGCAUCUGCAAGCACAAAUGUUAGUUUAAAGACAACCCUAUGGCUCCUGCCGGUUGCCGUACCAUCGACGUGCAAGUCGAUAUUAACUAUUACAACAUGAUCAUCACAUACAUCCAAUAUAUCACAUCACAUCGUUGGCCAUAUCACAUCACAAGCAUACCCUGCAAAAACAAGUUAGACGUCCUCUAAUUGUUGUUGCAUGUUUUACGUGGUGACCAUGGGUAUCUAGUAGGAUCGCAUCUUACUUACGCAAACACCACAACGGAGAUGUAUGAAUUGCUAUUUAACCUCAUCCAAGGACCUCCUCGGUCAAAUCCGAUUCAACUAAAGUUGGAGAAACCGACACUCACCGGUCAUCUUUGAGCAACGGAGUUAAUCGUACCGAUGAAACCAGUCUCUCGUAAGCGUACGAGUAAUGUCGGUCCGAGCCGCUUCAAUCCAACAAUACCACGGAAUCAAGAAAACACUAAGGAGGGCAGCAAGACGCACAUCACCGCCCACAAAAAAUUUUGUGUUCUACUCGAGAUUACAUCUACGCAUGAACCUAGCUCAUGAUGCCACUGUUGGGGAACGUCGCAUGGGAAACAAAAAAUUUCCUACGCGCACGAAGACCUAUAAUGGUGAUGUCCAUCUACGAGAGGGGAUUUCCGAUCUACGUACCCUUGUAGAUCGCACAGCAGAAGCGUUAGUGAACGCGGUUGAUGUAGUGGAACGUCCUCACGUCCCUCGAUCCGCCCCGCGAAUCGUCCCAGGAACCGUCCCGCGAUCCGUCCCACGAUCUAGUGCCAAACGGACGGCACCUCCGCGUUCAGCACACGUACAGCUUGAUGAUGAUCUCGGCCUUCUUGAUCCAGCAAGAUAGACGGAGAGGUAUAUGAGUUCUCCGGCAGCGUGACGGUGCUCCGGAGGUUGGUGAUGAUCUAAUCUCGGCAGGAUUGCGCCCGAGCUCCGGAGACACGUGAUCUAGAGGUAAAACCGUGGAGGUAUGUGGUCGGGCUGCCUUGAAAAAGUUGUCUCAAAUCAGCCCUAAUUGCUCCAUAUAUAUAUAGGAGGAGGGAUGGAAGGCUUGCCUUGAGGCUCAAGGAGCCCCAAAGGCUGCGCCACCAAGGGGAGGAGGAGUCCUCCUCCAAUCCUAGUCCAACUAGGAUUGGAAGGUGGAGUCCUUCUCUCUUUUCCCACCUUUCCUUUUUUUUCUUUCUCUUCUUUUGAUUUUUUUUCUUUCUCUUGCGGAAGACAGCCUUGGGCUGAUCCCACCUACUUGGUGUGCCACCCCCAAGGUCCUUGGGCCCUCCCGGGUGGGUGAUCCCCCCUCCCGGUGAAGAUCCGGAACCCAUUCGUCAUUCCCGGUACAUUACCGGUAAUGCCCGAAAACCUUCCGGUAACCAAAUGAAGUCAUCCUAUAUAUCAAUCUUCACUUUCGGACCAUUCCGGAAACCCUCGUGAUGUCCGUGAUCUCAUCCGGGACUCCGAACAACAUUUGGUAACCAACCAUAUAACUCAAAUACGCAUAAAACAACGUCGAACCUUAAGUGUGCAGACCCUGCGGGUUCGAGAACUAUGUAGACAUGACCCGAGUGACUCCUCGGUCAAUAUCCAAUAGCGGGACCUGGAUUCCCACAUUGGAUCCUACAUAUUCUACGAACAUCUUAUCGUUUGAACCUCAGUGCCAAGGAUUCGUAUAAUCCCGUAUGUCAUUCCCUUUGGCCUUCGGUAUGUUACUUGCCCGAGAUUCGAUCGUCAGUAUCCGCAUACCUAUUUCAAUCNNNNNNNNNNNNNNNNNNNNNNNNNNNNNNNNNNNNNNNNNNNNNNNNNNNNNNNNNNNNNNNNNNNNNNNNNNNNNNNNNNNNNNNNNNNNNNNNNNNNCCUCCCAAUACCAGCCGGGCGGAGCCCAGUCCCAGACAUGGCCCCUCUGAUCAAGCAGGUGUCCUCCGCCGAGUCGACGACGAGGAUGCGGGAUAGGCAUCGUAAAAUGAACUAAAAAAAUAAACUAGUUCUAUUAAUUUUCUUUCUAAAAAUAAACUAUUAACACUUAAGCAUAUACAAUAGCAAAAUUAAACUCUUAACACUUAAGCAUAUACAAUAGCAAAAUUAAGCAAUAAUCUAAGAAACACUAAUUAAGCAUCUAUAUACAUAGAAAUGUCUUCUUCUUCUUCUUCUUCUUCUUCUUUCUUAUUUUCUUCUCCGCUUCAUCUUCAACUUCUCUUCUUCUACUUCUCCUCUUCUUCUAUUUUUCCUCUUCUUCUCCUCUCCUCCUCUUCUUAUUCUCCUUUUUCUUCUUUUCUUCUCCUCCUCUUCUUAUUUUCCUUUUUCCUAAUCUUAUUUUCUUAUUUUUGUUCGUCUUUCUUCUUCUUGUAACCCUAACCUAAUUCUAAAUAUUACUAACCCUAAUAAUCUAGCACAAACCUAAUAACAAUAGGAAUUAAAUGACAAAAAAAAAUCUUUUUCUUUUUCUUCUUUUCUUCCCUUUUUCUUCUUUUCUUCUCCUUUUUCUUCCUUUCUUCUCCUUUUUCUUCCUUUCUUCUCCUUUUUCUUCUUUUCUUCUCCUUUUUCUUCCUUUCUUCUCCUUUUUCUUCCUUUCUUCUCCUUUUUCUCCCUUUCUUCCCUUUUUCUUCUUUUCUUCUCCUUUUUCUUCUUUUCUUCUCCUUUUUCUUCUUUUCUUCUCCUUUUUCUUAUUUUCUUCUACCGGCCGAAGCAUUGGGGAGGAAGGGGCGGGGGGCUUACCGGCCGGAGGCGUCGACGACGGCGAGGAGGACGGCAGGCAGCAGCGAGGAGGACGCCAGCUACGGCGAGGAGGACGGCAGGCGGCGGUGAGGAGGACGGCGGGCAGCCUAACGACGUCGUCGAGUUCGUCGAUGUGCCGCGCCGGGCAGGAGAACGAGGAAGAAGGAGAGAACGAAAUGCGAUUUGGGUUGGAAAUUUUCUAACUCCCGCUUAUAUAGGUGGACCUUUAGUCCCGGUUCGUGGCUCGAACCGGGACUAAAGACACCCUUUAGUCCCGGGUGGAGCCACGACCCAGGACUAAAGGCCCUUUUUCGGCACACCAAAAGGCAGGAAGCAGGUGCCUUUAGUCCCGGGUCGAGGCUCGAGCCGGGACUAAAGACACCCUUUAGUCCCGGUUGGAGCCACGACCCGGGACUAAAGGCCCGUGCUGGCAGGCNNNNNNNNNNNNNNNNNNNNNNNNNNNNNNNNNNNNNNNNNNNNNNNNNNNNNNNNNNNNNNNNNNNNNNNNNNNNNNNNNNNNNNNNNNNNNNNNNNNNGUGGUGAUCUAAUCUCAGCAGGGCUCCGCCCGAGCUCCGCAGAAACGCGAUCUAGAGGAAAAACCGUGGAGGUAUGUGGUCGGGCUGCCGUGGCAAAGUUGUCUCAAAUCAGCCCUAAUACCUCCGUAUAUAUAGGUGGGAGGGGAGGGGCCUUGCCUUGAGGCUCAAGGAUCCCCAAGGGGGUCAGCCGAAGGGGGGGAGGAGGAUUCCUCCUCCAAUCCUAGUCCAACUAGGAUUGGAAGGUGCCGUGCCAAGGAUUCAUAUAAUCCCGUAUGUCAUUCCCUUUGUCCUUCGGUAUGUUACUUGCCCGAGAUUCGAUCGUCAGUAUCCCUAUACCUAUUUCAAUCUCGUUUACCGGCAAGUCACUUUACUCGUUCCAUAAUACAAGAUCCCACAACUUACACUAAGUCAGAUUGCUUGCAACGCUUGUAUGUGAUGUUGUAUUACUGAGUGGGCCCCGAGAUACCUCUCCGUCAAACGGAGUGACAAAUCCCAGUCUCGAUCCAUACUAACUCAACGAACACCUUCGGAGAUACCUGUAGAACAUCUUUAUAGUCACUCAGUUACGUUGUGACGUUNNNNNNNNNNNNNNNNNNNNNNNNNNNNNNNNNNNNNNNNNNNNNNNNNNNNNNNNNNNNNNNNNNNNNNNNNNNNNNNNNNNNNNNNNNNNNNNNNNNNGGUGGCGCUGUUUGGCGCCGUGGUGGCGUCGAUCAUCUUGCACGGAGCUUUCGGUGGAGAUGUCAAGUCAUGCCUGACCAAUAGGUGCUACGCUGUGCCAUGCCUGGUCAACAGGUGCUACACACGACAGAUCUUCCGAAAUCUACACGUCUGGACUGACGAGCCGUGGUUGCGUCGACGGAUGGACGGACUGGCAAGGAUGAUACAGAUCUCUCUCUUGAAGACGGGUCAGCGGCCUGAUGAUGAUGGCGGCAUCUAAAACGUGUGCAUGUGGUGUACGCUUUAUGUCUGCUGCACCGGCUGUGGGUUCCGAUACGUUAUGUGGGUGUAUCAGUGACGGCACCGGUUUUAGAUAUGAGGAAUGAGAGCACUCCACAUUAUCGAGUUUCGUAGGUGUGAGUGAUGGNNNNNNNNNNGGUUUUCUGUAUGUUCUUGUUAGACCUAUGUUGAAUAAUUAAUAAAGAUGGACAUAUGCAUCGAUUGAUGGAGAGGCCGGGGGUUUGAACCUCCUUUUCCAAAAACACAUCCACAUGUCUCAUUCCGGCGUCCUAUAUUCAUACUACAUAUGCAUGUCGAAAUAAUCUACGUGAUCGGAAAAUAAAAUCGGAAGGAAACGAACACAAGAUUUGCGGCAAACGGAAAUCCAUCAUCACUCAAAAGAUCAUCGAGUUCGCAGGACAUAGUUUAUCAUCACUAAAAAACUAUAUUAAGAAUGCGUAGGGGGGAGGGGGCAUAUCACCACUUCCUCGCCGUACUUUUGCCCUUUGGAUCGCCGAGGCAACUGUAGCCGUCCGCGGUUGGCGGAGGAUCUUGGUCGUCAGAGGAGAAGAUGCCGUUGUCGCUGUCGUCCGAGUCAUUUUCGAAGAGGACGAUGAGCCCCUUUAUCCGCAAGACCGCCAUGUCUUUCUCGCACUUCAAUCGUGCCAGUCGGGCCUUCUCCUUCGCUGUCUCCUUCGCCUCGCACACCAAUUUCUCAAUAGCAAGCCGGAACAACUUCACAUUCUUCCGUCGGUAGCACCGAGCGUCCGUCUCCGCCGUCGUGAGGGACCGGAGGUACACCCUUGCGAGGAGACAUUCGUUCUCAUCGGGCUCUGCUGGCAUCCUGCGGUGCCGCCGCGCAGACUGUUGUGCUUCCCCUCAUCCUAGUGCCCGCCGCCUCUCAUGGCGGGCGGCACGUGCCUCCGAUUUUGGAGUACGCAUGCGGGCGCUGCCCGGCGGCGUGGACACUAGGACCCAGCGCUGCCCGCCUGGAGCAGCACCUGGCGAGGGGAGGACACGACGUGAGGCCUAUGCGGACUAUGCAGCCUUGCAGUCGAAGUUGCGCGCGGGACGGUAGGGUCCAGCUCCGGCAUCCGCGCUCCACCGUCUCGGGAGUGGCGGCAUAGCUCCAGAUCCUAAGUUGCCGCCGGUCUGCACCUUGGACCACUCCAAGGCGAUGCGAAGGGCCAGCUCGUCGGGGUUGACGUCGGAGUCAUCGGAGCGGCUGUCGGUACUCGACAUUCUACUCGAUGGAGCGGGCUCGAAGCGGGAGAACACGAGAUGGAGGAAGAGAGAAAGAGCUAGGGUUCGGAACGAGGCGUCGAGAGUGGUUAUUUUUUGGGACAUUGAUGGGAUCGAUGGUGGGCCAGGCCUAUCAGACAGACGUGCUCGGGUGUUGGAGUUAAUUACGUCUUGUGAUUCCCUAGCCGGGUCGGACUAGGACACGGUCACCAUAUAGGAAUUGUAUUGGCUGUAGCUAGCUAAUAUAUAUAUCUAUGUCACCAUAUAGGAAUUUGUAACAUCAGAUUGAAAUCAGAUCAAUACAAAGAAGAAAGUCGGGAGCGACACGCUCCCGUAGCCAUCAUAUCCUCGUGUUCUCGCGUGUGUGUCUCGGCGAUGCUAGUUCCGAUCGAUCAAGGCAGCAACCAAAUUGCUACGAACGUGUGCAUGAGAAACCAUCCACCUGCUAGCCUGCCUGCUUAGGUUACGCGUACGUGCGCGUCUCCUCCAGAAACCGAUAAUCCGGCUAGCGGUUACAGCUCGACGCAAAGGAACUUCGUCGAGUUCGUCAAGGAGCUUUGUUCGGCUUCGUCUUCGUCCGUCGUUACCGUCGCCGGAAAGUACUCGGCGUUAGGUCUGGGCCAACAAUUAAUAUCUAGAGCAAGGUUGAUAUUCUAGUAACGGAAGAUCAUGUCGGAGGAUGACAAGGCCAAGCAGCUGGCGGAGUACAUCGGUGCGGCUAAAGUAUUUGCUGCUCCGGCGAGUUUGUCGUACCCACGAUUUGAUCGCGAGAACUUCGGAUUCUGGAAGGCUCUCAUGGAGUGUCGUCUCCGCGCCAACGUGUUGUGGGACGCAAUCGAUCCAGGAGGCGACGCUUUCAAGAAGGAGGGAGCUGAGCAUCGGAAGGAUCGGUAGGCGGCGUCGAUGAUUUAUUCGGUGAUGCCGAUGGAUGUCCUUCAACACGUGAUCGUCAAAGAAACGACGAAUGAGGCUUUGGAUACCUUGAAGCUCAUGUUUGAGGGACACGACCCCGUCAAGCAAGCCAAUCUCCAAACUCUCUUACGGAACUAUGAGACUUUGGUCAUGGGCGACAAUGAGUCCGUGGACGCGUUCGCUUCACGGGUUGCAACUCUCGUCAAUCGGAUCCGCGCAUUUGGAGAAAACCUCACGGAGGCCUCGGUUGUCCGUCGGUUCUUGCGCGCGGCUCAUCCCCGGUACCUGCAAAUUGUCACGGCAAUCGAGCAGUGCAUCGAUCUUGCGACCCUCUGUAUUGAUGAUCUUGUCGGACGCUAUAAGGCUCACGACGAGCGUUUGAGGUACACUCUCGGGGACGGGAGGAACGAUGAGCUUAUCAUGCUCGCGCGGGCUCAGUGGCAGGCGCUAGACUCAAGGAGAGAAGGUGAGGGCUCUAGCAGUUACGCUCGCCAAGAUCGUGUGCCAAACGAAAAAAAAUCAAAAGGACGCUAGCGAUGGCGCUCCGAAGGAGAAGAAGAAGUUCGACAAGCGCAAGAUAAGUGUCACAAUUAAGGCAUCAUUGGGCACUUCAAGUCGGAGUGCAAGAAUCCCCCAAAGGAGAAGGCGCUCNNNNNNNNNNUCAAAAGGACGCCAGCGAUGGCGCUCCGAGGGAGAAGAAGAAGUUCGACAAGCGCAAGAUCAAGUGUCACAAUUGUGGCAUCAUGGGGCACUUCAAGUCGGAGUGCAAGAAUCCCCCAAAGGAGAAGGCGCUCAUGGUCCAUCAAGGAGAUGAAGGUGACAUGAUGUUGAUGUGUGAACUCGUGGACGAGGAGGAUCCAGUUCUUCAAGUGUCGGCUAAAUAAAUUGCCGCACUGCCUGAAGGAAGAGUUUGCUCUCAAGAUCAUGGUUCGGAAACCCGUAUCGAUGCUACGGAUGCGGGAGGUGAUUCCGAAACUUACAUCAAUGCUAUGGGUGUAAGUGCCAACUUUGCUGGAGCGAAGGAAUCGCUCAUUGCAUGUGCUCGGCCGUGGAGAAGCGGCCUUGUUACAGACAUGAGGGGUGAUUUCAAAACUCGUGUCGAAGCUACUGACGUGAGACAUAAUUCUGAAAUUUGUGUCGAUGCUAUGGACACGGACGUUACUUGGGCAUAUGUGAUGCCUGAAAACCACGAAUCAAAGUAUGCUGAUGCAAAAGUAAGCACGUGUGCACAAGCCAUGUUACGUUGUCUAGUAAUAGACGAAGACGUGAUGUCAAAAGUCCACGAAGAGGCAAAGCGUACAUGCGAUGUGUCGCUGAGCAGAACAUGCAAGCUAGGUGGUGACGGAGCUUCACUAGUAGAAAACGGGUCUUUGGCCUGGACCAUUUAGUCCCGGCCUGCUAGUCCCGGCCACGUCGCCCCAAUUCUCAAUGCCUCCCUCGAGGCUUUAGUCCCGGCCCGUAAGGAGCCUGUAGUCCCGGUUCGUGUCACAAACCGGGACUAAAGGGCUACGCGGCGGGCAGUGGUGGUGGCAACCGUUCGUAUCCCCCUUUAGUCCCGGUUGGUGGCUUAACCCGGGACUAAAGGACUAACACGUGGCCUGCCGUAGUGGGGCGACCAUUGGUAUACCUCUUUAGUCCCGGUUGGUGGUUGAACCCGGGACCAAAAGCCUAACAAGUGGCAUGCCGUAGUGGUGGCAACCGUUUGGUAUACCUUUUUAGUCCCGGUUGGUGGCUCAAACCGGGAUUAAAGGCCCAAACGGUUUGCAUCCGCGUCGUUUCGGGCGAUGAAAAGCACGAACCAAAGCGUACAGUCGCCAUUUCUCUGUUCUUCUUCUCUCUCGCGUCGCCCUCUUAGUUCUUCUCCUCUCUUCUUCCCUUCUCUUCUUCGACCAUGCCAACUACCUUUCAUGAGGUGGUCGCGCAUGGCACGACCAAGCUCCGUGUCGUGUACACGAACCUGAGCACGGAGGUUCCGUUUUUCCUUCAACAGUUGAAGGAACGAUGGUUUAACCACGCACCGGAUCAUGAGAAGUUCUUUGGGCUUGAUCUGGAGUACACGGCCGAUCAACGCGGUGUUGCCGUCAUCCAUAUAUGCUUCGCAAGCCAUGUCUUGAUCUUCCAAUGGGGGAGGUAAGUUUUGAGGCUUUCUUUGAUCCAAGAUAAUGACAUUGUAUAAGUUUAUUUGUUUCUAUCAUAGUUGGUUCCCUUCAAAUAGUUGUAGUGAAACAAUUUUGAUUAGUUGAAGGGGAGCACAAUCUAAUUGGAAUAGUGUUCCAUAAUCUGAAAAAUCGUAUUAAAAUCAACUAGUGUUUAAUAUGUUCCAUUGGAAUCAUAGUUGGUUCCCUUCAAAUAGUUGUAGUGAAACAAUUUUGAUUAGUUGAAGGGGAACACAAUCUGAUUGGAAUAGUGUUCCAUAAUCUGAAAAAUCGUAUUAGAAUGAACUAGUGUUUAAUAUGUUCCAUUGGAAUCAUAGUUGUUUCUCUUCAAAUAGUUGUAGUGAUCUCUCUAGGUUCCAUUGCAUAUGUUCUAUUUGAAUCCUAAAGAUAAGUUUCUCUUUAGUUGUAGUGAAACAUGUUUCCUUAUUGCAGCAGUAUGUAACAUUUGUUCCAUUCUAAUUUGUUUCUGUUGCAGGAGUGACAAGCAUUGUCCUGGACUCAUGGAGUUCCUUCGCAGCGGCGUCACUUUUGCUUCCGUUGACAUAAGGAACGACAGGCUGAAGAUGAGGCACAGCUUCGGUAUUGAGAUACCAGUUGGUUGCCUCGUUGAUCUCCAAACGAUAUUCAGGCUUCGACAUGAUAGGACUUCGAUGGCUCAUAUGGCAGUUGCCUUGAUCGACGAGUCAUAUGGUGAUAUGAAGACCAGUUUCCCAAAGUAUCAGCACAAACUUUGGGAGAGGGGCCCACUUGAUGAUAUCAACAUUCAGUAUGCAGCAAAAGAUGCAUACGUUUCAUACGAGUUGUACCGCAAGAUUCGAGUCGUCAACUAUGGCCAGCGUCACCUCGAGGAACGUGGACAUUCUGAUUUAGAUGAUUCAGACGAGUAGUGUUCUGAACGUCUAACACUUGUAUAUAUAUCUAUGGUAGCUAUUAUUAUGUACUGUUUGGGCUAGUAUCAUGUACUUCUUGGACCAAUUUAUAUAUGUCUAGUUUCUGUUUGUGCCAUUAUAGUUUCCAAAUUUGAAUGGUUUAGCCCUUUCUGACUUCAUUUGCUACUUUUGAAUGGUUUAGCCCUUUCUAACUUCAUGGUAUCAUGAAUUUUGACCACAUAUAUAUACAAAAAGUCUUCAGUUCAAAUAAGUUCACUGCUUUUCAAUUUCAGGGUCAACUAGCUCAAAACAAAAUAAGUAAAUGCACGAAAUAUACCAAAUGAAGUCAGAAAUUGUUGAAAUUUUGUGAUGUGCCUUUGAAUGGUGCAUUUUGAACACACAAAAAGUAUGGAGUUCAAAUAAGUUUAAAAAAAUGAAAUCCCUUUGUAAGAGAUGAGUUCUCGUUCGAAACCCUGCUACUUCGAGAGAGAUUGUCAGUUUUGUACACGAACUGCAUCCACUUUUUGUCGUAGCCCUCUCAACUUUUUAACACAUGCUAUGUGGGUGAANNNNNNNNNNCACCGUUGGAGCGGGCGGGCCGAAAGGAGAUGGCCUACCCAGCCAACCGAGUUGCUCAGAAGUGGACACACGGCCUGGUGGCCAGGCCAGCUCACAAGCAGCGUGUGACACAUGCAAAGAGGCAACAACAACUGUUGGGCGCUCCCCAUGUGAUGGUGAUAAGUAUGCACCAGGAAACUAGCUGGACAUGGCGAGCUGCCACUGGAAGGUGGCUCGUUCAGUGGAGGUGUAGGAGAGAUGGUGUGUGCAGUUUUGCCAUGCACGCACACUGCAACAAGAAGAGAUAGGAACGGCGAGGUAAUGCAGUUCCUGUGGAAAUGGAAGAAAGGACACUGCCAUCUACAUCCGUGUUGCUUCAACCGGAGCUACGUCUCUAUCUAGAGAAAACUGUUCAGACAGUUGACCCGCUGAAAAUGAAAGGGAGCAGCGAAGGUGUCUAGCAAUUACCGAGAAACCGACAGAUUUUGAAGACGCAAAUACAAAGGAGUGUUGGCGUCAUGCUAUGAGGGAAGAGUUGGGAUCGAUCCACAUCCACACGACAACAAUGCAUGGGAGCUUGUGGAUCUUCCCAACAAUGAAAAAACCAUGCAGCUCAAGUUGGUAUUUACGAUCAAGANNNNNNNNNNAAAGAUGCAAAAUACAAAGGAGUGUUGGCGUCAUGCUAUGAAAGAAGAGUUGGGAUCGAUCCACACGACAACAAUGCAUGGGAGCUUGUGGAUCUUUCCAACAAUGAAAAAACCAUGCAGCUCAAGUUGGUAUUUACGAUCAAGAAAGAAGCUCAAGAAACUUGUGUGAAGCACAAGGCGAAGCUAGUGGUCAAAGAGGACAUGCAAGAUGAAGGUGUGGGCUUCAAAGAAGUGUUCGUUCCCAUUGCGCGGAUGGAAUCGGUGAGAUUACUCAUCGCUCUCGCGGCUCAAGAAUCAUGAAAGAUACAUCAUAUGGAUGUAAAAUCUACGUUUUUGCACGGUGAGAUGGAAGGAGAUGUGUAUGUGAAUCUAGCACCAAGCUUCAUCAAAGAGGGAGAAGAACACAAGGUAUUGAAGGCGCACAAAGUUUUGUAUGGGCGACGGCAAGACCUUCGUGUUAAACAUUGUAUAGUUAGGAUACAGUGGUGUAUAAACCGUGUCCAACUCUUUGUAAACCGGUAGGUCUAGAGAUAAGAUCCCAUGGUUGUUAGAUUACUUGGAGAUCAAUCCUAGACCUAACCAACUUGUGUAAUCUCGACAUUGUGCCCCUAUAUAACACGAACGCGUCCCUGCAGCCAUUGCAUACGCUUAACCUAUCGUUUUCCACAUGGUAUACAGAGCUAGUCUCUUCCAAUACAUCUAGCCNNNNNNNNNNUCUCUGGCGUUGGGCCCCCAUAUAACAUGAACGCGUCCCUGCAGCCAUUGCAUACGCUUAACCUACGCUUUUCACACUUCGGGCGUGGAACAUCAAACUUGAUCGGACUUUGAUUUCUCUUGGAUUUGAGAAAGCCCCACUCGAGCAUACAAUGUACAAGAGAGGUGAAGGAAGUGAUCGUCUACUAGUUGGAAACUAUAUACGAUGAUGAUCUAUUGAUUACUGGAGCAGAUGAAGAGGUGAUUGCAAAGUUCAAGCUACAAAUGAAGGAGCUUUUCAAAAUGGACGGUCUAGGUCUUUUGAGUUGCUACCUCAGACCAGAGGUACAUCAUAAGCCAGAAGAGAUCACAUUAUGCCAGGAGGCAUACACAAGGAAGGUACUUGAAAAUUUUGGCAUGAAUGGUUGCAAUCCAAUUGAUGCUUCAAUGGAACCUCGUCUUGAGCUGAGCAAGAAGGAGAUGGUGAAACUACUCGGUUACAGUGAUAAUGACAAGGAAGGAAUUGUUGACGACGGUAAGAGUACCUCGGACGUGGCAUAUUCCGUUGAUGGAUGCAUAGUAAGCUGGCUAUCACGAAAGCAAAAAGUGGUGAGAUCGACUUCAAGUGAAGCAGAGUGUCAAGGUAUGUGGCUAGGAAGGCUACACGGUGAUCUCAUGAAUCAAGAUCCGAAACAAGUGGUGCUCAAUGUUGAUAACGAGUCUAUAUUUUUUCUGCGUGAGGAUAUGAAGGAUGUCGGUAAGCCCGGGUAUAUAAGACGGUUUUAAAAGAUCCAUCUAAAUCGUAUUUUCGUGACCGAGUAGUGACCGAACGGUCUGCUCAGGCAUUUGAGAUCGAUACGAGGCGUCAGGUUGGCUGUAGAUGCUCUAAAUUUACUUAUUCAGCGGCGCUCCCAGUUUUCCGGCCACACCCGCAGCAUGUGCUCCCCGGCGGCAUGUGCCCUUCUCCAUGCAUGUGAGCUGCUUCACCAUCUUUCCAAUGUAUUUUUCAGUCUUUAAUUAUAGCACAUUUGCACCUGAAAUUCAGACAAGUGAGACGUCUUCCAGUCCUCAUUUUGGGGAUGCAGUGUUCAUCGGCGAUUCAGAAGAUUCAAAUUGCAUGCAGUAAUAAAACAGGGAGAAAAUGAUUGUCGUUAAUUAACUGUAACACCCGCAUAUAGCAUACUAUACAUGCGAGUUACACUGGGCUACAGCAUGAGGCACCACUAUAUCCAAGAUUGUAAGCAAGCAUGACGAUGGCGAUGAUAAUUAAGUAAGCAGCAGUUUCUUGGGACAUCGACGAACGGCGCGGUAGCAGCUAACUAUAACUCUCUACUCAAGGCCUGAAGAAUGCCGGUGGACGGGGACGAGCUGCGGCGUCGCCAUGGAAGGAGGUGUCCUUGAGGUGGUCGGGGGCGCUCUCGUACGAGUGCCGCCUCGCCAGCGAGAGGAUGGUCUUGUCGGCGGCGACAAAGUAUGCCAUCCCGGCGACGGUGCAGACAAUGAGCGCCUGGCCGGUGGGGUUGAGGUUGGCCUUGGCCCACGGCAGCAUCCGCNNNNNNNNNNCAAAGUUUAAAAUUGCCGGCUAUUGAAAAAAGCGGCAUCCUGUAGCAGCGGCAAUGAGCAGGAACAGAUAGCGGUUUUGCUGGAUACAUGCAAGAAUUCCAAAUAUAAGUGCAAGAUACAUGCCAAACUACAGAAAUUCAGCAUCGAUUAACUAGUUGACACAAACAGGAAUAGAAUAACUAAAGCAUUAAGGUCAUCCAUUAAGCCAACAUUCAGCAAUCAUCUCAAGCGACAAAGCAAAUAUAUAGUUCGGUAAACAGAAUGACACACUAUAUAACAGAGCAUUGACUAUCUCACAAAGAUGAACUAGUAAGUUCUGCAGAUAUAUAAUCCAUAAAGUAAAUGGUGCAUUCUCUUAUAUUCAUCUUCAGAAUCAGAAGGAGACUUAUCAGACUCCGAUUCAGAAGAAGAAGAAGCAGCUUGCGGCAUUGUUUCAACACGCAUAGCCAUCAAGGACCGCAGGCUCACAGUCUUGAUUUUCUUCCUAGGCCGAGAAAUCCUCUUCCUUUUAGCUUGUCCCUGUGAUGAUGAUGCCCUGUUUGGUGCCUCUUCCGAUGCAUCUUCAUGAGCUUUCUCUUGUUCUUGAUCAGCUUCUGCAGUUGGUUCUUUCCCAGUGAUGAACUCAUUGUCAUUAUCAGCAAGAACAUCAUCCACUUCUUUCUCUAUGGGAUCUCUCUUUUCGCUUUCUCUCUUGUUCCUUAGUUUAGAGUUGAAUUUCACAAACACAAGAUCCCUCAUCCUGUCAUGCAGCAGCCUAAUGCGCUUCUUUGUAUGAACCUAAGAGUUCAAAAAAAUUAAAUACUUAACAAAUGUAGAAAACAGAAAAACCAAUUGUAUAAACUCCAAAAAAUAUUAUUUGUUACCUGUUCGAAAACAGACCAGUUCCUCUCACAAGCUGAUGAGCUGCAUGUCAAAUUAAGAAUCCUAGAUGCCAAAGUUCUCAAAUUUGGUGUGGUGGUGCCAUGGUUCAGCCACCAUUUUGCUGCACAUUAUACAAGUUAGUAGUUAAAGAAAUGCAAAUAGAAGCAUUUUAUUCAUCAAUCAUAUUAGCUUCACUAAAUAACCUGGAUUAAAAUUCUUGUUUCUCCUUUGCCUUAUAGCAAUCUUAUGGCCGAAAGAUCCUUGCUGAUCUUGAUACAUGUUGAGUUCUUCAAUUACAGUGUCUUGGGUUUCUUCGUCCUCAAUCAUCUUGCAAAUGCAUGUAAUAACAGCAGCUCUAAAUGUUCCAUCAUGCUCAAUCUCUGACUUGUUUGGAUAAUAAUAGUGAGGAUUCAAAUAAUAGCCAGUCAAGUGGAGAGGAGUCUUGAGCUUGCUGUCCCACCUUUUAUCAAUGAUGUCCCAAGCAACUUUGUACUUGCUCUCAUCAUUAUCCAACCUCACAGCUAUAUGUUUCUUUGCCUCAAGCAUUAAUCCAUGGAAGAAUCCCAUUGCAGGAACAUCACUGUCCAUUCUGCGAAGCACAUUAGCCAUUGGCUCAAAGAAAUUAACAGCCAUGUCCACAUGUUUCCAAAAAACUUCAGAUCACACCACUUUGAGUGCUUUUUUCCCCUUUGCCUUUUUCAAGUAUGAACCUAGCUCAUUCAUCUCAUGUGAUCUGAAGAGCCUUGUCAAUUUCUUCUUGUUGUCUAGCAAACUUUUUAGAUUUAACUAAGCAGUGGCAAACCGAGUAACACCAGAGCGAACCAAGUCCUUCCCAAGAAAUUUCCUCAUCAAAUCCAAUACCCUUGUAUGAGCAUACAAGAAGCUAGUCACUUCUCUUGCACUUGAAAUAGUUUUUUCAACUAGUCCAAGCUUCCCAAGAUCCUCCAACAUGAGAUCUAGGCAGUGAGCAGCACAUCCAUUCCAAAAUAUGGAUGGUCUCUUUGCUGUUAGCAUACUAGCUGCUGAUACAUUCACAAUAGCAUUAUCAGUCACCACUUGCACAACAUUUUCUUCACCUAUAUCUUCUAUGCAUUUGUCCACCAAGUCAAAUAUGUAUUUGCCAUCUUUUCUGUCACCGGAGCAGUCCACUGAAUCAAUGAAGCAAACACCAUGAGCACUGUGCACAACUAAAUUCAUUACUCCCCUGCCCUUCUUAUCUGUCCAUGCAUCAGUCAUAACCGUGCAACCUGUGAGCUCCCAUGAUUUCUUAUGAUUCUUGAAUCCAUCCAACACCUUCUGUUUCCUCUUCUGGAAAAAUGGUCCACUUAUCUCAUAUGGACUAGGCCCUCUCAAGUCCUUGCCAAACUGUCCGAUGGCCUCAAGCAUAUGAGCAAAGCUAGGGAGGGUGACAGUGUUGUGAGGAAUGCUAGCUUCAUAGAAAAACUGGCAAAUAUACUCACAAACUCUGUCCCUUUUCUCUUCUCUUUUCAUAGUUGACAACUUUGAUUGGACCUUCUGGCUAACAUUGAGUCCAAUUUGAUUAUUGCGAACACACUCUUAUAUAGAUGUUUUCUUGUAAAACUUAUCAAUCGUGGCACUGCCACAACCUACCACAGCUCUAGAACCACUCAUCCCACUGCCUCUUGUUGAAUUCAGCAACACAACAUCAUUCCUCUCGUAGUCAGAAUCAUCCCCACUACCCCUUUCAUCAUCUGAGUUUUCUAUAUGAAUUCCAGAUCGAACCCUUUGCACUUCAUCCUUCUUCUUUUGCUUUUCACCACUCUUCUUCGUAAGAAAAGCAAUAAUCUCUUCUUUUACAUCAGUUGGAACCUUCUUACAUUUAACAGCAUUGAAGCCACGAAUGCAAGCAAGAUGGCACUUCAUUCUAGUAAUUCCACCUUUCAAUAGCUUGUCACAAAAAUUGCAAUGCAAAUGAUACUUCUUGUUCACAUCUGGGGCAAAACAGUAUGCAUAUGCAGGGUCAUCGGACGUUACUGCUUGCCUUGCUUGUGUUUGGGGUACCGAAGGAAAAGCGGCACUUGAAUCACCUAUAGAAAAAAGUAGAAAAUAAUUUAGUUAACCUGCACCGCUACAAAUGACCUAUUUUGAUUGAUAAUUAAUCUAUCUUAAUUAAGGAGGAAUUAAAUGAUAUAUGCCACAAUUAAUUACUUUGCUUCAGAAACAUCUAAAAUUGUAAAUUGUUGUUGAAGCAUAGGAGAUUUUCCAUGGUUUAUUUGAUUGAUAAUCUACCUACAUGUAUAAUCUACUGCAAAUAAUAACUGCCUACUUGUUAGAUUUCAGAUCUGGGAGGUGGAACAUAAACUUGUUAAAUUUCAGAAAGUAGAUGUUAGGUAGAGUAUCUACAAGGGAAAAUCACUUUCAUCACACGUACUCCUCACAUCAACCAAAUAUUAUGAUGGCCAACGACACUUAGCAGAACAGAGAUGAGCAGAACAGCGAGUAGAAGAGAUACUCACAUAGUACUAAGAUAAUAGAUGAUGAACUAAUGAAAGCCAGACUAGGAAACUUGCCUCCAUGAUUCUCUGGCUCCGGCUGAGACAUGGUUCUUCAGUUCUACUUCGCAUCCGAGUUGCAAUCUCGCCGCCGCCGUCGCGAGAGAUAUAGAUCGAGGAAGAGCAGCGGAGAAGUUUGGCUUUGUCAGGGUUAGCGCUAGGCUGUUUUGUACCUCCUUUUGGGCCUCUGCGUGGUGAUUAUGUAAAAGCCCAUAAUUCACGUACUCCCUUGUGGGCCAAACAAGUAAUAGCGGCGCAAUUUUUUCCAGUAAAUAGCGGCAAUGACUGGCUAAUUGCGGCCUUUUGCGGUGCAUUCACUGUAGCGCAAAAAAGGGGCAUUGCGUUGCCCCCUGCUCUUCCAGCCGCUAUGUCCGGCAAAUAGCGCCACAAUAGCCGCUAUGUCGGACGUUAUAAGGCUCACGACGAGCGUAUGAGGUACAGUCUCGGGGACGGGAGGAACGAUGAGCUUAUCAUGCUCGCGCGGGCUCANNNNNNNNNNNNNNNNNNNNNNNNNNNNNNNNNNNNNNNNNNNNNNNNNNNNNNNNNNNNNNNNNNNNNNNNNNNNNNNNNNNNNNNNNNNNNNNNNNNNCGGAGGAGAGAAAGAGGGAUGAGCAGGGGAGAAAGGGGAAAAUGAAGAGAGGGGGAGGAGAUAAGAGAGAGGGGGUCGUGCUGGUGUCGUGGAGGCGAGGAGGAGCUCCACGGCGAAGCAGGAGGUGGCUGCCGUGCUCGCCUUCUCCUUUGCCUAUUGGCAGGAGGAGGAAUACGACAGGGGUGGCUGGAGUGGGCUGGGCGUGCCACUUAGGCGCGAGGUAAGCUUCUGCUCCCUUUUCAGUUUUUGUAUCUUUUCUGUUUCUGCCGUUUGUGUUUAGGCUUUAAAUAAAUUAUUUAGCCAUUUUAUAAAACCCUGAAAAAUAUAUUAGGUGGCAUAAUAUAAAUAUCUAAUGCCACACAUUUAUUUUCAGGAAUUAUGGAACUAUAUUUUAUAUAGAGAUAAUAUAAUUCCACUCCAAAUAUUUGCUUGAUUAAAUCAAAAGUCCAACACAAAAUGUUUCUGUGACCUAAAAUAUUAGUUGACAUUUUUAUAUCAUGCCAAUAUUUUAAUAAAAUAUUCGGAACAUUUUCUUGGAUCAUUUUAUAGCAAUUUUUAUAUUGCUUAUUUCCCAAAAUUUGGUUCCUGAGGCUUGAUCACUUCCCCAUUUCAAAUUCAAUGCAAUUUGAAUUCAGCUUGGCAAGUAAAGUAAAACUAGGACUGUGACAACUCACCCCCACUAAACAAGAAUCUCGUCCUGAGAUUCAGGCGUAGUCGGGAAGAGAUCGGGGUACUCAAGCCGAAGACGAUCUUCGCGCUCCCACGUUGCUUCAUCCUCGGAAUGAUGAGACCACUGAACCUUGAGAAACUUGAUGUUGCGAUGUCGAGUGCUUCGCUCGCUUUCAUCAAGAAUACGAACGGGAUAUUCUCGAUAUGAAAUGUCAUCUUUGAGAUCAAGCGUUUCGUGGUCCACUUCGCGGAUAGGAUCCUUGAAGUAACACCUGAGUUGAGAAAAGUGGAACACAUCAUGAACUUUGGAAAGUUGCGGAGGUAGUUCCAAUUGGUAGGCAACCUCUCCUCGUUUAGCGAGAAUGCGAAAAGGACCAAUGUAACGAGGAGCCAAUUUGCCUUUGAUACCGAAACGAUGGGUAACCUUGAGAGGUGAAACCCGAAGUUAAGCCUUCUCGUCAACUUCAUAACUUACUUCGUAAUGACGACGGUCAUAUUGACUCUUUUGACGAGAUUAGGCGGUUUUUAAAUUCUCAGGAAUGAUGCGAACUUGCUCUUCUGCCUCCUGGAUCAUAUCCGGUCCAAAGUAUUGUCUUUCACCGGUUUCUGACUAGUUUAAUGGCAUUCGACAUCCUCUUCCAUACAGAACUUCGAAAGGAGUUUUGCCCAGACUAGACUGGAAAAUGAUGUUAUAAGCAAACUCGGCGAAUGGAAUACAUUUCUCCGAGUUCAUUCCGAAUGAGAUAACACACGCUCUGAGCAUAUCCUCGAGAAUUUGAUUGACUCUUUCUACUUGACCACUUGACUGAGGGUGAUAAGAAGUGCUAAAGGAGAGAAGAGUUCCCAUAGCAUUUUGGAAACUUUCCUAAAAUAGAGAGGUGAAAAGACUUCCAUGGUCUGAAUUGAUUUCCAGAGGAACACCAUGAAGAGAAACUAUUCGAUAAAUACAUAGGUCUGCUAACUGACUAGCAGUUAUACUCUCUCGAACUGGAAGGAAAUGAGCAAAUUUUGAAAGACGAUCGAUGACCACGAAGAUGGCAUCAAUCCCUUUCUUAGUCUUUGGAAAGCCGGUGAUGAAAUCCACACCGACCUUGUCCCAUUUCCACUUAGGAAUAGCCAAGGGCUGAAGAGUGCCAGCAGGCCUUUGAUGUUCUGCCUUAACGCGACGACAAACGUCACAGUUAGCAAUAAAUUGAGCGAUUUCUCUCUUCAUUCGGGUCCACCAGAACCUCUGGCGUAGGUCCUGAUACAUCUUAGUACUACCGGGAUGAAUCGUGAGAGGAUAUUCAUGAGCUUCCUUAAGGAUCAAUUCUCACAGUUGUUGCUUCUUGGGAACAACCAAACGAUUCUCAAAAAAUGCAACACCUUUAUCAUUUACUAGGAAACGACCAGCAUUGUUAAUAUAGUUUUUUGGUGAUGAUAAACUAUGUCAUGCGAACUCGAUGAUCUUUUGAGUAUUGAUAGAUGUCCGUUUGCCGCAAAUCUUGUGUCCGUUUCCUUUCGAUUUUAUUUUCCGAUCACGUAGAUUAUUUCGACAUGCAUGUGUAGUAUGGAUAUAGGACGCCAGAAUGAGACAUGUGGAUGUUUUUUUUCGGAAAAGCAGGUUCAAACCCCCUGCCUCUGCAUCAAUCGAUGCAUACGGCCAUUUUUAUUAAUUAUUCAACAUAGGUCUAACAAGAACAUACAUCAAACCAUCCGAAGCUACCACUCACACCUAAGAAACUCGAUAAUGUGGAGUGCUCUCAUUCCCCAUAUCUAAAACCGGUGCCGUCAUUGAUCCAUCCACAUAUCGUAUCGGAACCCACAGCCGGUGCAACAGACAUAAAGCGGAAACCACAUGCACAUGUUUUAGAUGCCGCCAUCAUCAUCAGGCCGCUGACCCAUCUUCAGGAGAGAGAACAGUAUCAUCCUUGACAGUCCAUCCAUCCGCGACGCCACCAUGGCUUGUCAGUCCAGACGCGAAGAUUCUGGAAGAUCUGUCGUGCGUAGCACCUGCCGACCAGGCAUGACAUAGCGUAGUACCUGUCGACCACGCAAGACUUGACAUCUUCACUGAAAGCUCCGUGCAAGAUGAUCGACGCCACCACGGCGCCAAACAGCGCCACCGCCCUAGGCUCAUUCGUCCAGACACGAAGAUUCUGGAAGAACUGUCGUGCGUAGCACCUACCAACCAGGCAUGACUCCGCGUAGCACCUGUCGGCCAGGCAUGACUUAACAGUUCCAACAAAUCUUCGAGCCAGACGAAGCCGCUCCAUCUCCUGCCUCUGUCAUCUAGCCUUGCUCCACAAAGGAUGCUCCCAAGAGAGAUACGACACCGCAGUACCGCCAUCGUCCGAUCUGGAAAGUCAGAUCUUAGGGUUUCCCCCGAAGCAGUGCCCACCACUACAAGGAAUAUGCUAAUACACGACGCUAUUUUUUCGUCGCUACAUCGUCACGGUUUUUAAUUUACGACGAUCUCACGACGAAAAACCAAGCGUCGAAAACGGAGCGUCAGAAAUGAAGAGCAUCGACGUUUUGAUCAAAAUCGUCGUAACUUUUACGACGAUGCCUCUAUCGUCGUAACCUUUACGACGAUCCUAAAUCGGCGUUGGCAAUCAAACCCAGUCCUACGUGGCAGUCCUACGUGGCAAAAUUACGACGAAAUCAAAACAUCAUGGUUGAAAUCAGCCCAACCCAUUUCAAUUGAUCACAUGGGCUGAUUUUAUUUUUUUGGGCUUUUUCUUAUUGGACUUCUUUUGGGACUUUGCCUAUUUACAGCCACUUUAGUAUGUUUUUUUCGAAUUUUUUUUAUCAUUAUAAUUUGGGCCCUGGACUUUAAGUUCCAAAUACAUUUGGUCCAAUUUCAGUUUUGGCCUUUUUCAUUUUUGAAUUCAGCAACUUUUUGUUCCUGAACUUGGUUUCAUUUCUAUUUGUUGGGCCUUUGCAACCCAAUUAUUUGUCCAAUAUUAAAUCCAACACUAUUUCAUAUUCAAAUCAAGAAUACUCCAACUCAAAUUAAAAUCAUCCAUCAUAUAACAUCACAUAAUACAUCUCCCAAGUUUACAUAACACAAUACGUCUCCCAGGUUCACAUAAUACAUCUCCCAGGUUCACAUAAUACAUCUUUCAGGUUUACAUAAUACAUCCAAACUCCAAGUCGUUCUCCUCCUUGGGCUGGAUGGCGCCUGCAACAGCCACCUGCUUCUGCAUCUCCUCGGCGAUCCUCUUCAGGUGCUCCAUGUUGUCAGGGCCUGCAACAAUUAGACAGAUUUUAAAAAGUAUCAGAAGGCGAUGUCAUUGUGAUGAAUAAGUCCAUAUGGCAAAAAGGUAGGAACACAGGUCAUCACACGAUGCCUUGUUCCUGUGCAAAGCCAUCGAAAAGAGUACUAACUAAGCACUACACUAUCAUGGUUGACUUAACAAAUGCGUUGAGCGGUCAAUAAUUCACAGAAAUAGAAAUACAUAACAUCAUUUCUCAUGUAAUGCCCAAAGUGGUUUAAACUUGAUGGAUUGAAUAAUUGUUCAGUGGACUUUGGCAAAGUGGUUUUGACUGCCCUUUCCUCAUCAGUGGUUCAUAGGAAACAGGGCAUGUGAAUAACUUGGUUAUUGAAGCAUCAUUCUGCUCUAUUUUGAUCUCCUGAAACUGUUCGCAUGGUGAGCGUCAGUUUCACACGGUAUGAAUAAAGUUCAACCUUGGCAUAACACAAAACGCUUACACUUAACGCGACUGUAAACUAUGCUAGGAGUAUUAAACAGGAUGCUUCUUGUCCGAAGCAUACACCAUCAGUUGCUAGUAAGAUCAUCUGUUCAGAGUUAAAUAGUAGGAGUAUAAGCUACUAGAUUGCAGAGACCACUCAUUCUAUGCAUGUAGGACAAUAUAAGUACAGAUAUCAGCAGUCAUAUAACUUGUUGGUAGCUCAGUCACUGGUAGCCAAAUACCAGCGAGCAGUGCAGGCCAUGACUCACACAUCACCUCCCCAAACUAAAAAUACCUGCUAAACUUAUGCCCAUCUCGGAUCAAUUGAUCACUCUUGGAGCAAAUACAAAGCCCGCAGGUUCCUGCCAAAGCCCCGCAUAGGCAUGACACCAAACAUUUGGUGUGCGACAACCAUUGCCCUUUUUUUUCAAGCGCACACAACGCGUACCCUGAGAUAUUUUUUUCGAGCGCACACAACGCAUCCCCUGAGAUUUUUUUUUUCGAUAAAGAUUCCCUGAGAUGAGAAUCAGCUACAGAAAACAGGGGGAUGCAUUCCAAUUCCUGGAAAAUAAGUGAAUCAGAUCGCUCCUAAAUUGAUGCUAACAUCAAUUACCCCCCUCCAACAGAUCUAACAGGGUUCAAAACUAAAGAAAGUGUAUCUAUGAUCGAGAGAUGCGGAGGGGAGCAAGAGGCAUACGGUCUUGGGUUUCCCCGGGUGGCGGAGGAUUGUAAAGACGAGCUGCUGGCGCGGGAGGACGCAGAAGAGGUGGACGAGGUGCUCAGCCUCAUCCUCGACGACAGCGGCGACGCGGGCGCGUCCGACGUCGGGCUCGAAGAUGGCGGUCCUGCCAGUCGAAGAGCUGGUCGCUGAAGUCUGCCAUUGUCAUCAUAAGGAAUGUCACCGCUACCCGCCUAGAGAGAGCCACAUCGUCACCAGUCCUGCAGGGUAGCGAUUUACAUCAGGUGCACAGUAGAAAUGGAGCAAUCUUUUCUGAACUUCAAAUUCUCAUUCAGUUUGGAUAAGGUGCUAGUUUGCUUAGCAAUUCCCUUUUGCACAGCAGAAGCAACACCGCCUUUUUUGAAUCAAAAUUCUCUUUUUUCCAGGACUAUGAAAAUUCUCACUGAGUUUGGAUUAAGGUGCAGCUACUAGUUUGCUUAGCAAUUUCCCUUUUGCUUCACUCGGGUGCCGAGUUCGGAACCGAUUUUUUUAAUAGUGAAUCAUGAAUCAAUUGAUAAUUGAAAGUAUUUCGACAACAUAUGUUGCAGCAGAAAAAAUUAAAUAGACAUACUACAAAUCUAACUUAUCUUGUCAAGAUGCCACAUAAUCUUGCAAAAUUGACAUAACUAAGUUUUUCUCUCAUAGCAACAUGAGUGAGGUUAAUUUGCCCGACACAAAGUUGCGAGAUACAAAAAAUUCCUAAUCCUGAAUCUUGAUAAACACUGCAUGAACGCCUAAUCCUAAAGCUAGCUUGCAACUUGUAAUGAUCAAUGAAGCAAGAGUACUUGAUCCUCAAAUUUUUAAUCUAUCAUGAGUGAACUCUAUACAUCUGUCAGUAUAUGUUUCGAAGAAACGCCUAAUCCUAAUAGGAAACAUACAGUACUUAAUUAUCAUCUUGGUCAUAACCAUGGAUUUCUCGGUGAACUCUAUGUGUCUCACUAGUAGAAAACGGGCCUUUGGCCUGGACCCUUUAGUCCCGGCCUGCCUCUGGGCCGGGACUAAAGGCCCGGCCACGUCGCCCCAAUUCUCAUAUCCUCCCUCGAGGCUUUAGUCCCGGCCCGUAAGGAGCCUUUAGUCCCGGUUCGUGUCCCAAGCCGGGACUAAAGGGCUACGCGGUGGGCAGCCCGCAUGUGCGCCACCUUUAGUCCCGGUUUGUGUCUCAAANNNNNNNNNNNNNNNNNNNNNNNNNNNNNNNNNNNNNNNNNNNNNNNNNNNNNNNNNNNNNNNNNNNNNNNNNNNNNNNNNNNNNNNNNNNNNNNNNNNNCCUGGAGCCUCGCGGCCACCCCCCCUCCGUCGCCCGCACCCUCCUCCGCCGCCCCACCCUUGCCGGCGACCUCGCCCCUCGCCGAAGUGCCCCCUCCUCGCCGCUGCUCCUCCCUGCCAUCGUGCCUCCUCUGUAGCACGAGGUAACUCCCUCUCCUUUCUGUUUUUUUUUCUUUUGUUUUACUUUCUACCGUUAGAUCUUUAGUCAACGCGUUAGAUUAGAUCAUAAUACCUCUUUGGUUUUUAACCAACAACCGAAAGGGUUUUUCUUUACUUAUAGCUUAGCCGGAGGACUUUCGUUAUAUAGCGGCCAUUUGCUAGUUAGCGGUAGCAGCGAAUGGUUUUCAUCAAAUCAGAUCGUGCCACGUCAUCGGUUCUCUUUUCUAUUUUUAUUCUGAAACAGAGAGAGUUUCCAUUUUAUUUUGCUCAUAACUUUUGAUCCAUAACUCUAAUGGAUUUGAUACUUAUUCCCGUAGAUCACAAUUUUACUGUAAUUUUCAAAAACAUAUUAUUUGUCUAUGUUUGAAAUUUUCAAAUUCGAAUUAGAUCAGAUUUAGUUUAAACCUUGUUUUUCUUAUUCUGGGAGUUUAAAAAUAGCUUUUAAUUUGAUUCUUUUUUAUGCUAAUCACUAGUGAUACUAUUUAUCAGUUGUAAAAAUUUCAGAAUUGUUUGAGUAAUUUAACUCAUUAUUUCUUAUGAAACAGUUUCUGUUCAUUUCUUUUAGGAUUCUGACAAUAUUUCUUUCUUUAGUUGUUUUUAAAUUAUUUUUCUUUUAUAUUUCAGAAAUAUUAUGUUUUGUUUCUGUUAGUUGACAGUAGGGUUGCAACAAGUUUUGAUUUUAUUUUUAUAUGUUAUCAUGAAAUCAAUUCUAGUUCCCUAAUAACUUGCAAUUGGUAUCUCUACUGUUUCAAAUCCCGUUUGGAAAUACUUUGAAAUAGUUUUGUGAAAAAUACUUUAUUUUAUCUUGGUUAAAUUUAUAUCUUAGUUAUAUGUGAUGUUAAUGUUUUAUUUUCAGUUAGAACAAAAACUAUUUGGUGUUUGAUGUAGUAGAAGACUCCCUAGUUUAUUUGAAGUUUUCUUUCGGAUUUAUAUUCGCUCUCUCUUACUGUUCNNNNNNNNNNNNNNNNNNNNNNNNNNNNNNNNNNNNNNNNNNNNNNNNNNNNNNNNNNNNNNNNNNNNNNNNNNNNNNNNNNNNNNNNNNNNNNNNNNNNGAGUGCGGGCUAGGGAUGGGUUCCCCUCUUCAAUCCUCACUUUUAGAGAUUGAGAGGGCAACCCGGGUUCAAUCCUUAUUUUUUUUUAAGGGUUUAGGGGUUCUAUUCUUUGCUUUUUUUCGUUUCAAUCCGUAAAAAAUGAUUUAUUUUAAGGAUUUGAAGAUUUAAGAACACUACAAGUGAUGCUUUAAUUGACACCCCACUCAUGCACAUGCUCCUAUAUUUGUUAUCCUAUGAUUCCCUGCCAACCCCGAUGGAUUGAUGCAUUGCCUGCUGUUAUCCAGUUGCAGAAGAGUGCGGCGCACGUGAGAUGGUUUUUAAAUGACCAACGAGGCAGCGCCACCUGUGUUCUGCCGCAGCGCCGACCACCCAGCACGCCGCCGGUAUUGCUAGCUCGCCUGCCAAAGUGCCAAAACCACGGUCUCGCUUCCCACUGUAUCUAUCGUCUUCUUGUGCGCACGCUGGUUGCCGGUUUCCUGCAGCCUACAUAAACUCGGCCGAAUCGGAGCACACCUCCUAUCCAUCUCAUCUCACUCUCAGACGGUCACAUAAAAAGCACACUGCUGCUGCUCUACUUCUAGUUCACUUCCUUCCGGUCUCGUGCCACCAAGCUGCCACUCCCACGAAAAUGUCUACGGUGACCCGCGCCUACCUGGACCAGAGGCUCGCUGCAGCCAAGCGUUGCUCCAGAGGUAACCAGCAAUGCUCGUAUAGAUACCAUUCCGUCGUGCAUUAAUUGCAGCUUCUGUAAUGUAUCUGUCCACUGAAACUUGAUUGUCAUUAACCUGUCGGUGUUGCAGAGGCUGCCAUGGCGGGAGCCAAGGCCGCGGCCGUCGCCACCGUCGCAGCCGCAGUCCCCACGGUUAGUAGCUAGCCAUUUAGUUCUUGCCUUCUUCGAGAUAUCCCUGCGGAGCACGAAUGUGUUACCUCUUACCUGUAAUUUCAGCUGGCGAGCGUGAGGAUGCUGCCGUGGGCAAAGGCGCACCUGAACCCGGCCGGGCAGGCGCUCAUCAUCUCCACCGUCGCCGGGAUGGCCUAUUUCAUCGUCGCCGACAAGACAAUCGUCUCCAUGGCCAGGAAGCACUCCUUUGACAACGCCCCGCCACACCUCAAGAACACCUCCUUCCACUAAUUAGGCUGUAGAUCAAAUAAUGCGCAGCAAGUUCUAUACGCCUCCCCGAACUUGUCUGCUGAAAUUGGGGCGAUCAGGCGAGGCCAUGCUUGCAGUGCGAUGUUUACUGCGAGCAAGCACUAAUUAUCUUAUCAUGUAUGAAAUGAAAUAAUGUUGCCAACUUCUCCAUCUUAGUACCUUUCCAGAGAUCUUGAGUUAAUAACAGCUAGUUUUUAAUUUUGUACGACCCUGGUUCAUGUGCCAUGACUCGUCUUUUCCUUAUGGCGCUUACUAGUUGACAUGCGUCAGAGCAUUGCAAAAUGCCGAGAUAACACUGUAGUACUAGUUCACUCUUUUGAUCCCCAGCUCCUCCCCUGUUCUGUUCCGAAAUGCACGUAAUGACGAUCAUGAUACAUUAGCUCAUACGAUUAAUCUUUUCUCUCACUAUUUCCACUACCCGCGUCUCCGCGUAACCGUCGACCGCGGGCGUGCUCCCUCAAUUUCAAAAGUUACGAAAAAUCUGUCCCACCUUGUAUCCCGAAUGGAUCCCGUGUACACGUCGUAUGACAAAGCAUGCCGAAUGAUCUUUUCGCACGAUCCCCUACGGAAUCCCGAUCAGUCCGGAAAUUGAUGACGACGACCUGAUCGUCCUUACCUCGACACGAGUUAAGAUCUGUCCCAACUCACCGAUUGAGCACGCGGAGUACAAAGCUCUCGUCCAUCGAACUCAUGGGAUCUAUCUUUCCAAAAGAUAAUCUGUCACUGCCGACUGCUGAAGUACCUGUAUGGCUGGACAGUCGAAAUUGGUCACUCUUAAAUCCGUGGAGGUUUGCCGAGGGUCCGAAUGACGCAGCCCCGAGCUACAUCCCAAGAAUCUUCAAAGCGUCGGAGACAUUGAAGGAAGUCAUUCAGUCGAUCUGCAAAACCUCAAUUGAUUCGGGGGCUACUGCUCGUGUUGUACAUUAGGGGUAGGCCUACGGACCUGCCUCUUUGGGCCUACCUAGGACCCUUACGGACAUUAGUAUCCUUAAAGUCACCAAGGCUGCCUCGACCUCACUCGGUUCAGCAACCGUCACUCGGUCUGCCUGGAGUCACUCGGAUCCUCUCGUGCGAGUCGGAUACAUCUUGACACUCGGACCUCAGCGAGGAAAAGGCACCGAAGAGGCUGCAAACGGCUAAGGACUUAACCCAUCGCAUGAAGAGCAGUGAAGACUCACGUUACUAGUAACGCCGAUAAUUAAAGCUGUCGUUUCUAGUAACUUUUUCGUUUAUUUGCAUUAAUUGCCUUGUAAUGAAGCUCGGCCGGUCAUGGUAUGCACUAUAUAAGCCACUUCUGGCUCUAGCUCAAGGGUUCAACACUUUGUAAUCUUUUACACCCCAUAAGAAAAUACCAGCCUCAGGGCUCGAGACGUAUGGCUGUUACCACUUUCGAGUGGGGUCUAAACUCGUACAUCCGAGUGCAUCCACUGCGUCUAGUUAGACUUUGCCCCUUCAUUCAUACCCUUAGGUACUAUUGUUAGGGUCAUUCCCACGACACUAGGAGAUGGCCCACAAAGGCAGACAAAAUCGCUAUUCUAACCUUCUCAGCGAUUUUUGUCACAAUCUGAACUUGAUAUAAAAGUAUUUCACGUUCUGAUCUUUUUGGCAACAUCAUAGCCCGUGACGUUACUGCCCGACAUAGAAAUCCGAGCUAGAUAGCAUUUUUGCUCUGGUCCACUGCCAUGACGAGUACGCGUAGGUAACAGGUUAGAAACGCCGAGCUAGAUCUCGUUUCUGGAAACGUCACUGACCCUGGCGUUUCUAUGUAGGGCAGCAACGCCAAAAGCCUUGACGUUUCUAUGUUGUUUUGAAACGCAAGGCCUUUGACGUUGCCGCCCUAUAUAGAAACGGGGUCUAGCUCGACGUUUCUGGCUUGUCACAUACGCAUGGUCGGCCUGACAGUGGACAAGGGCAGAAACGCUAUCUAGCUUGGCGUUUCUAUGUUGGAUUGACUAUGAUGUUAUCAAAAAGAUUAGAUCAUAAAACACUUUUAUGUUGAGUUCAGUUUGUGACAAAGAUUAAUAAAAAUGUUAAAACAGUGAUUUCGGCCGAAGCGAGACGCAUACACGCGCUGCUUAACAUGUCAGUCCCGUUGACUAGCUGCACCAAACUACUGUCGACCUCCUUAAACAUUCGGUAGGACGGCAUGUCAGUCCCGAUGGCUAGCUGCAACCGACACGUCUUUGUGUGCAUGUAGGAGUAUUAUGCCAAGUCGUAACAGAGCGACAGAUAAUCAUGGGAACUCUCUAAUCACAAACACCAUGCCACACACAGGAGAAUACACCAACCAACAGAGACGACGUAAAGAAUUGCAACAGACCUGACCAUCUCAUUUACCAACCAACAGGGACUACGUAGUAGGAUUAGUGCACCACACUGCCCUCUUGUCUUGAUGCGUCUCCUCCCCUCUACAUAUUUACUACUGCAGCACCCUCUACAACUUUAAUGGAAAUGCGUAGUUCGCUGAUUGGUGUGAACUUUCGGUGGUACAAGAACGUCGAUUCAAAUUUAUUAUGUUUGCGUGCUUAAUAAAACCAAGUCAUACUAGAAAGCAUUUUAUAAUUUUAAUAUUUUUAAACAACCAUAGCAUGCCCCACAUACCAGGACAGCUGGGGUAUACCGCAAGAUCGAAGUGGCCCGACACACAAAAUUGCUAGUGAGUUGUGUUAAAGUAGAACAAGAUUGAUUGAAAGUAAAUGAACGAUAAGUCUUUGUUUUUAUUGAUACUCAAGUAUAUAUACAUCUCGAAAAGAUGAAAAUAAAGGGUGUUUGUUCGGAGACAUCCGUCCAAAACAGAUGCCUAUUGACAAUAAAGAGAGAGAAGGGACAUAACUCUUCGGGGUUGGACACACCUUUCGCUAAUGAUGAUCCAUUAAUUAGCAUGUGCUAAUUAAAAAUAGACAUGUGAUAAUUUAUUCCUAACACCCCCUUAUACAACACCGCUUCCUGAUCACCACUAAAGGCUUCUUGAACAUCACUGAAGGUGUCUUGUAUAUUCAUCUUCCAUCUUGAUAAAUCCUUUGUACAAUCUUGAGUCUUCCCAAAAACCUUAUGGAAAAAAUAUGAGGAGAAUGGUGCUGAUAUGUUGCUAAAAUUUCUUUAAACCUGAUGGGUAAAAAAUAAGGAGAAUAUGAUGCAACAUAUUAUGAUUAGUAUCUCCUUGAUAACACAUAUGAGGAAAACCUUUGAACAAGGAGAAAACUUAUUUGUGAGUUUGGAGACCAAUAAAUGUUCAUUGUAUACUUUCGUUUAAAAAAACCCAAGUGAGAAAAAUAGAAAUUAUUGCAUAUGUUGCCUUGUUAAAACCUUUUAUGAGAAACUUCAAGAGAAAUCACAUAAGGGAAAAGAGUGUGAUCUGAUAUGCCAUUGGAAACUCCUUUAAAAUGCAGUGGGAAAAAUAUAAGGAGAAAAUAAUAUGACAUAUCAUAAUAAUUGUCUCUUUAACUCAAUAUUAUAAAAUCCAUACAGUUUAGAGGACAAUAAAUAUGUUGUGUAUACAUCCCUAAAAACCCCAGUUGGGGAAAACAAAAAAUAUGACAUAUGAUUUCAUGUUGAUAUUACCUCAUGAAAAAUCUUUAUGAGAACAUGUACAGUAAACUCAUGCAGGGAAAAAUAUUAUAAUAUGAUGCUCUGAACAUGAAAAAUUCAGGAAGAUACUCCCCUAAUUCUUGCAAAUUCCGAAGCCGUCACAUACCAAUUCAGUGAACAUAUUUCUAGAAUGUAGAAGUUGGUAGAGACUUGGUGAACAAAUCAGCCACAUGAUUUGAAUUGCAAUAUAUGAAAUAUAGAGAUAUUGCUUAUUAUGUAACAUGUUUGCAUCCGGGGAACACAAGCAACAUUAUCUUUGAGAUAAUGGUUGGUGGAUGUAGCUAAUAAGAUUUGUUUUGAAGACUUUCAUGGGAUGGCUACGACACCUAGUAGGAACACAUAGCUUGUCUACGAUCUAACAUGGUAGGGAUCUAAUCAACGUAUCCAAUAAUAUCGGGUGUCCAGAUUUCUCUAAAACUGAAAGAUUAGGACAAGAUGUUUGAUGCCUUGGAGAUAUGAAAAUAUAUUCUUGAGUCCCAACCAAUUAUGUUUGGUGGGUCCAAUGGCACUAGGAUAUGGAACUUUAGGUCCUAAAAUCUUGUUUCCAUCUCCUCGCAGUCUAAAUGAAAUUUUCUCUACGUCUAGAGAACGAAUAACCAUGGAAAUUAUGGAUGGGUAAGACAUCCCCACAAUCUAUUUUGUCUAGUAUAAUCUAGAUAAUGACGACAUGUGUACCAUAAUGUAUGAGUGAAUGUGCGAGAGGUUUUACCCAAAUUCUUCAUCUCAAAUUCCGUCAUUUGGAUGAUCACAUGAUUCGUCAUUGCAGGAUUAAUCCUUGUAUAUGACGAGCAUUAUGGUAAUCCACUAGAAGAAAUAUGUCAACUAGCGACCUUCUAGCAAUGACGCAAGUAGAAAUGGUCGUAAAUCUACGACCAUUUGAGACCAAUUGGUUGUAAGAUGUCCGGAGGGGUCCUAACCCUAAAAACUAACGACCAUUUUCAUCAGAAAUGUCAUAACUUCCUUACUAGAAAUUGUCGUAAAGCGGACAGCACCGGCCACCUCUUGUUACUAAUUAGUUCGAAUGCAUUAGGAUGGUUAGGCAACAACCUCAGUUUACCUGUCAUUUUUGCUUACUUCUUGUUAAACAAAGAUCACACACUGACAGGUGGGACCCAUUUGACAGCAGAAGCACACGCGAGCGCAAAAUUCGUUGGGUAAUUUUUUUUACCCGAGCGUGGACUCGAACCCACGACCACUGGGUUGUGGCUGCUUGUUGACUACCACUGGGCUAGAGAGGGAUUGCUGCCCAUCUACCGAAAUGACUGUAUAUUAUAUAAAACUGCGGUUGUCUCUUGCCAAAUCUAAGUCAUUGACAAGUGGGACCUAUUCCGAGGAUAGGACAGAGCCAACACUUAGCCAAAAUUUCUAGGUCUUCCACGACAAGUGAGACGGCGGAGGCGAUGACGGGGGCAACUAGCGCUGGAGGGGGUGAGNNNNNNNNNNNNNNNNNNNNNNNNNNNNNNNNNNNNNNNNNNNNNNNNNNNNNNNNNNNNNNNNNNNNNNNNNNNNNNNNNNNNNNNNNNNNNNNNNNNNUAUAACAUGAACGCGUCCCUGCAGCCAUUGCAUACGCUUAACCUACGCGUUUCAUAUGGUAUCAGAGCUAGUCUCUUCCAAUACAUCUAGCCGCCGCCAUGUCCACCUCCUCCUCUGCGAUCACCAUGGCCUCUCCCUCCAUCGCCUCUCUCGGCCACACCAUCACAGAGAAUCUAACAAGAGAGAACUUUCUUGUAUGGAGAGCCCAAGUCCUGCCGCACGUCCGUGCCGCCGGUAUGAUGGGGUUCCUUGAUGGAUCAAACAAGGAACCCAGCGCCGAGCUCCUUCUGGAAAAAGAAGUUGCCGGCAAGAAGGAGAUCGUCGCUACUUCCAACCCCGAACAUGCCGUUUAGGUGACCCAGGACCAGCAGGUACUGACUUUUCUGCUGGCAUCCCUCUCUCGCGACGUACUGAUGCAGGUCAGUAACUGCGAGACUACUGCCGAGGCGUGGAAGGAGCUUCUUCAGAGCUUCUCAUCGCAGUCGAGGGCGCGCAUCAUCCAACUCCGCUCACAGAUCGCCUCCACUCGCAAAGGUGAUCUCUCCGCCGCCGCCUACUUCACCAGGAUGAAGGGGCUCGCUGAUGAACUUGCUGCUGCUGGAAAACACCUUGAUGAGGACGACGUGGUGUCGCACAUCCUCCAAGGGCUGAUGCAUGAACCCGAGUACAACGGGUUCGUUUCUGCUAUCUCAACCCGCACCAUCACUGAUCAACCGAUCGGUCUUGGAGAGCUGUACUCCCUCCUGCUUGCUGUAGAGGGACGGAUCACUACCCAGACAGCCUCCUACACGGCCAAUAUGGCUGCUAAGGGAGGUGGCCGGGGUGGCUACGGUCGUUCUGGGAACGGCAAUGGUGGUCCCCGUGGCUUCAACAACAACAACACGGGUGUGCGCUUCUUCGACAACUCGGGCAAUGGUGGCGGGCGUGGCGACCGUGGUGGUGACCGCGACAACAACAAUCGGGAGAAUUGCCAGAUCUGCAAAGAGAGCGGGCACGGUGCGUGGCGCUGUAAAAAGCGCUUCGAUCGCAACUUCAACAACAAUGUGGGUAACCCGGCUGGCAGUGGAGGUGGGGGUGGAAACAAAUCUGCCAAUGCUGCCAAAACUUCGGGGUCCUAUGGAGUGGAUACCAACUGGUAUCUGGACACUAGCGCGACAGAUCAUGUCAUCGGUGAGCUUGAGAAGCUAGCUGUUCGGGAUCGCUACACCGGGACAGAUCAAAUCUACACUGCAAGUGGUCAAGGUAUGGACAUUGCUCAUAUUGGUCACUCUGUUUUGUCUACUCCCCAUGGUUCCCUGCACUUAAACAAUAUCCUCAUGCACCUCUAGCUGACAAAAGUCUUCUCUCUGCUCACAAACUUAUCAAUGAUAAUUAUGCCUUUCUUGAAGUUUACCCUGAAAUUGUUUUUGUCAAGGAUCGGGACACUCGGAGAACAAUCCUUCAAAGCAAGAGUAAAAAAAUGUCUGUUUCCAAUUUCUGGUCGCCAUGAUCCUCCACAUCGACAAGCACUUGGUGUGACCAAACCCUCCACUUCAAGAUGGCAUAAGAGUCUAGGGCAUCCAGCUUUGCCGGUUGUCCAUAAAAUUCUUAGAGAUUUUUGUCUUCCUGUGUCCAAUAAAAAGGAUCACUUGUUAGUUUGUGAUUCAUGUCAAAUGGCCACCAACUCCCUUAUACUCGUUCCACUAGUGAGUCCAAAGCUCCUUUAGAGCUUGUUUUUUCUGAUGUGUGGGGGCCUGGACCCCUUUCUGUAGGAAAGCAAAAGUACUAUGUUAGCUUCAUUGAUGAUUUCAGCGAGUUUAUCUGGAUUUAUUUACUCAAGCAUAAAUCUGAUGUGUUUGCCAAGUUUCAUGUUUUCCAGCAACACGUUGAGCGUCUCUUUGAUCGAAAGAUUCUUGCUAUGCAAACAGAUUGGGGUGGUGAAUACCAAAAACUCAAUGUGUUUUUUGAAAAUAUUGGCAUCACCCACCAUGUCUCCAGCCCCAUGCUCAUCAACAGAACGGCUCUACUGAAAGAAAACAUCGCCACAUUGUAGAAGUUGGGUUAUCCCUCCUUGCCCAUGCUUUUAUGCCCCUCAAGUUUUGGGAUGAAGCUUUUCUUACCGCUGUCUACCUUAUUAAUCGCACACCUAGUAGGAUCAUCCAUAAUCAAUCCCUCUUGAGCGUAUUUUUCAUACAAAACCCAACUACACCUUUUGACGCAUUUUUGGGUGUGCUGUACUUACGUCCCUUCAACAAACACAAGCUUGAGUUUCUCUCCAAACAAUGUGUCUUCCUAGGGUACAGCACAAUGCACAAAGGGUAUAAGUGCCUUGAUGUUACUUCUGGUCGAGUCUACAUCUCUCGUGACGUAGUAUUUGAUGAGCAAGUUUUCCCUUUUGCUACACUCCAUCCUAAUGCUGGUGCACAACUUCGUAAAGAGCUUGUUUUACUUCCCUCCCACCUCCUCCCAUCACCACAAUUCCUUGCUAGGGGGGUAGAUACUGCUGAUGACCACAUGACAAUGUCUCAUACUACUAACCCUGAUGAUCCGUCAGAUUCUAGUGUGCAGGAAGAUUUUGCAGGAAACAGCGCAACAGGGCGUGAUUUUAUGCUCUCAGCAGAUCCCGGUGCCUCCGCAGAAGAUCCCGCCUCGGAAUCAGUUCCAGAUCCGGGCCAGCCUGCGCCUGAUUCCAUUCCGGCCUCGGGGACCGCAACUCCUGGCGCUGACGCUGCCAGUAGAUCCUCNNNNNNNNNNNNNNNNNNNNNNNNNNNNNNNNNNNNNNNNNNNNNNNNNNNNNNNNNNNNNNNNNNNNNNNNNNNNNNNNNNNNNNNNNNNNNNNNNNNNUCGAGUCCUCCGCCGCGGUUUGGUCGCCGCCGGCCAGUUUCCGGCGAGCGCCGACGUGGCACGGCCAUUAGUGCCUAACUAGCACCCCACAGCCACUGACACAGGGCCCCACGCGUGGGUCACACCCCAAUUAGGGGCAGGUCAACUCGGGUUUAGCCCAGGGUCACUGACCAGUGGCCCCCACUGGUCAGGUUUGACCUGGCCCGGCUGGUUUGACCUGAUGACGUCAGUGCUGAUGCAGUAAUUCAUUUCAGAGUUUAAAAUAAAUCCAGAAAUUAGUAGAAACUUCAAAAAUUCAUAGAAAUUAAAUUAUAACUCGGAUGAAAAUAAUUUAUAUAUGAAAAAUUAUUAGAAAAAUGUAAGGAAUCCAAUGGUACCAUAUUCAUGCAUGUUUGAACAAUUUGAACUAGCUGAAUAGGACAAUUACAAAAUAGGCAUAUAAAUGCUUAUAUUUGGAGUUUAGAAUUGAUCUAUAUUGAUCAAACAAACCCCAAUUAACUUGUGAUCACUUGCAUUAGAUAAAACCAGCAUCAUUUUAACAUGCCAUGCUCAUGCAUCAUUGUGAAGCAUUUGUCGUGCUUAAUUUGUUCUUUGUUGAUCUUGUUGAUAGACCUUGCGAGAUGUAGUUAUCACCGACAUCGAAGAACAGCUGAGUUCUUCUGAUCAACAGGAAAGCAAACCCCUUAUGUAUUAGGACAUAAAGAUUCAACUACUACUUAUGUUAUGAUAGAUAACACAUUCCUUUGCAUGACAUGUCUUUGUCAAAGUAAAUAGCUAAACCAAGAAACCUAGCAUACCUGGUAGAUGCUUGAGCCAUGUUGUGCCAUUACCCUGAUAUGCUUGCUAUGCUUAGAGUUGAGUUGGUCUCAUCAUCUGGAUGAUGAAUUGGAAUGACCAUAUCCUACUGAUGAGAGUUAAGUAUGUGAAACCGUUUUGGUAAAGGUAGUGAUGAGAGUCCAUGUAGGAGUACAUGGCGGGUUGUCACAUUGAUACCGCACUUAGGACCUGAGAUCUUGUGUUGGUGUUCCAAGACUAGAUACUACCGCACAUUGGGUUCCGGUAACUCGACCCCUCUCGGCCUAUUAACUACUCUAUUCUCAGUCCAGGAGUCGCAGUAGUUCGAAACAUUCAUAGAUUAUGGCACGACCUGCUAAGUGGAUGAACGGCCCAAUCAUUACCGGCUUGGGGCCCUGCUCACAUCGUUUGAGGACAUGUUGGAAACCCCGGCCGGACUUCCAUCAUGGGUUCCAACUCAGAUAGGCGACUGCCUUGUGCGUGAGUCAUUGUGGGUUAACGUCCGUGGCUGACUCCCUCGCUGGACUUCCGCUUGAAGGUUGCUGAGGUGCUUGUUUUAUGUGCACAUGGCGAUAAUUGGCGGGAGCAUGUGUGACGAAGUACACCCCAGCAGGGUAAUUAUCCUUGGAUAUGGACUACUUGGAUACUUACAUGGUUCAUAGAUAACUUUAACGGGUACUUUAAAAUGGUCCAGAUAAGAGUGAGUGCUAUGGAUGGCCUUCUCAUAGGAUGACGAGAGAGGAUCCAUGGUGGUGUAUUGAUGUGGUGGAUAUGUGGACUCGUGUGCGCCCUCUCGUAGGGAGACAAGAGAGGUAUAAAACAUUGUUGUAGUUUAGGUUAGCCAAAGGUCAAAGCUGGCUUUUCUGCAGUAAACCCCACAACCCCGUUCAUUGAUGCAUGAUGCAUAUGUAGUUAACUCUGAUGUAAGUCUUGUUGAGUACCUUCAUACUCACUGUUCCUUAUUUUCAUUUUUGCACAGAUAGACGUUGUUCUCUCUACGUUUUCCUGUUGACGUUAACAUCGAUGGAUUAGCUUGGGAACCCAGAUAGUGGUCUGGCUCCUAUGGUAGGGUUGUUGUAGCUUUUCAGGCUCUUCCAGCCGCUUUUAAUAGAUGUCUAUACCCAGACAUGUAACUUCCGCUUGAUGCUUGUAUGCUCUGAAUGUUGGGUCAUGUGACCCCUCUGUUUGUAACAUUAUACUAUGUUGGCUCUUCGGAGCCUAUUAAAUAAUUGAUGAGUCGUAGAGUUAUGAUGUGAUGCUAUUGUUGUAUCUACACAUAUCAUGCAUAUUGUGUGUAUGUUUGAAAUGCAUUGGUAUGUGUGGGAUUCGACACCUAGUUGUGUGCCUUUAGUAGUAAUCUUUACAGCGAAAUGCCUCUUUGUGCUUCCACCGAGCCUUGGUAGCUUGCUACUUCUUCGGACACAUUGAUUGACCGGCGUGUAUCCUUCUUUGCUGUUGUAUCUGUCCCCUCGGGGAAAUGUCACGCGGUGUAAUGGAGUCCUUGUAGCUUGCUACGACUCGUCUACACACGCUGUUGACCGACACCUGCNNNNNNNNNNNNNNNNNNNNNNNNNNNNNNNNNNNNNNNNNNNNNNNNNNNNNNNNNNNNNNNNNNNNNNNNNNNNNNNNNNNNNNNNNNNNNNNNNNNNCGUGCCACCAAGAACGCUCCGCCGACGAUUCCUAAGCCACAGAGCACCCCAAAGCGCAAACGGUCGCCCCUCCCAAAGGUACGUCUGCUAAUCUUCCUAUCAGACCUUAUGACUUACACCAUAAGCCUGAUGACUAUACACGCACAUUGCAGAAGGAAGUGAAAAAGAGCAGUUCAACUACAAGCAAGAAAAAUCAGACGUUCCUCAGCUUGAACAACAGGCCAAACAGUCGACCCCACCCCUCAAGGUGUUAACCGAGAAUGUUCCCCCUCCGGUGCAGGGCCUAGCUUUAGAAACAACAAAGGAGUUGGCGGCUCAAUGUGGUAUCUCGCUUGAAGAAUUGCUGUCUUCCCAAGACGACAAGAUACCCAAGGCUGUGGUAGCCCCUAAGCCAAAGUUUGUCAUGGGUGAGCCUUUGGUCAACAAAGAUGAUCUUCCAACAAAUAUGCGUUACUUGCAUACAUGGUACUUAAGUGAAUCAAAGAAGGGGAGAACGAUGAUCGUGCUGAGUGUGCCACGGGAGUACUACGGCCGCCCUGAAGAAAUCCAUAUCGACUUUGAUGAACUCUUCCAGAUGUACAAUGCCGACGCCCUCGACAAAUCGCUUAUGAGUUGCUAUUGUGCGUAAGUUUUUCAAUUCGCUGUCUACAUAUAACUUGUUUAGUUAUUCCAAUUCAUUGUCUAUAUAUAACUCCUACUCUAUUAUGCAGAAUGAAGAUUCUGGAUUGUAAAAGUAAGAGCAUCAUAAAUAUUGGGUUUAUUGACCCAGAUAAAAUACAUAUAACGACGCUAACUAAUUAACCCAAGGAGACGGAGGAAAACCUUCUAAGGUUUCUAACAGAUCAAAAUUUCUGUGACCACAUACUGUUUCCAUACAACUUCAAGUAAGGGUUUCCAUACAACUUCAAGUAAGGGUCUUUACUCUGUUGUGUCCAUUCACUUAUAAGUGUAAUUGAUAAGUUACUGACAUAUAUGUAUAUAUAUAUAUAUAUAUAUAUACAUACAUGUGCAGCUUCCAUUGGAUUCUGUUGGACAUUCAAAUUGAUAAGGGAAGAAUUGAUGCCUUCGACCCAUUAUCGAGACCCUUGGAACAGUUCUAAAGCCUGCAGGACAUGCUCCAAGGGUAAUUUUAAUNNNNNNNNNNNNNNNNNNNNNNNNNNNNNNNNNNNNNNNNNNNNNNNNNNNNNNNNNNNNNNNNNNNNNNNNNNNNNNNNNNNNNNNNNNNNNNNNNNNNCCUCUAGAUCGGAUUAGGGUUAGGAGUGGGGAACCAGUGGCGGCGGCGAACCUCGUAGUCUGUGCCAUGGUCCCCACCUCCUCUAUAUACAGCACUGCGCGACAGGGGCCCACCAGCCUUGCUUGGGCUGGACGCCCCCGAUCAGGGCGUGAGUCAAGGUCCAAUGGGCCGUUGGGCCCAUUGGGAAAGAGAUCAAUCUAACACGGUUCACAUCAUCUUAGCUCACUUACCAAAGUAAUAUCAGUAAUAAUACCAGAUAGUUCAGCACAUCCAAGUUGAAAUAGGGCACAAAAGUUACCUUCCAAUUUUUAUGCCAUGUGUCUUAAAAGGAGUGAUCAAGGUAGUCAUCUCAUUCUCAGUUCUGUUGCAAAUUUUUAGAAGUGACAACUUUUCAAAGUUGUCGAGGAGAAAAAAUAGUGAUUGGAUUCAGUUGGUAGGAAAAAAUAGUGACAUGUGCCAUUAAAUUUAUCAAGUCGUCAGCAGUCCUAUGCGCAUUAGACAUGUCUAUUUGCUAGCACAAUUUCAGGAAAUGAUGUUGCUCUCGCUUUCUCAACAAAAAAUAGUAAGUAAUCCUCACUUCUUCACUUCGUUUUCUACAAAUUCAGUGCCUCUUCUCACUGUACAAUUUUAAGAAUCGCAAAAGCACAUUGGGGAGUGCUAUUGAUUGGUCAAUUGAUUUAAUCACUGUUGUGUGGAUUAUGCAUUCAAAGUUUAGUAGAAAUAAAAUAUCUGAAAAAUUAGCUUUUGCUCCUCUACAUAAUCGAUGGUGAUACUGCUACUGUCUUUUCUGAAUGGCAAUGAAUCCAUAUCACACUUGGUUUUUUGGGGGUCUGUAGUACAUGCUCAUUGCCAUUGAAUUAUUUGUUUUGUACUUAAUGUGAAAACUAACUUUUCCAGAUAUUAUGUUAAUCAACUGCGAAGAAUCAAUGUUGAAAAUUAAUAAGACUUGAGUGCAACAAGUCAGUUCUCUGGAAUUUGGUAUGUUUGGUGUUUCUGUUUGGUGUAUUUCUUGUGUAUAUAAAUGACGUUAAUUAUUGCUCCUAUUAUGCAGAAAGGCUGCCUUGAUGAGUAGAAAUUUCAGGAUUUUGGACCACCAUAGUGUUCCUCCUAUUGCACGAGCUGUCGAGGUGGGUAGCACCUGGAAGAAGAAAUCAUCAAGCAAACCUUUUUCGAAACAAGAAGUUAACACUCUACACAUUGUGUAGAGUGCAAGUGUACAAACUAGUUAGCGUGUGCUUUCAAAAAAUUUAAUGCUUCGUUCUCAUUCUUAUUGUUUGCUAUCACUAAGAAAUCAUCCUUUAGAAAGAUUUCUGAAAUUCUGAAGAGCCAGGUUACUAUGCUGACAUCCACAUCAUGUAUAUUUUCCCUGAAGGUUAAGAGGACGCACAUGUUUUCUAUGGCUUAUAUUUUCCAAAGUUCGCUUUUUUGUUUGUUUGGUUUUUAGAUGCAUUGUCCUUUCCCACGUCAACUUAUUUUGAAGUUUCUAUAUAAUUGGCAUUAGAGUUCAACAAACUGCUUAAUUUAUUUUGUAGAAGAAAAUCAUCAAUGUUUUUAAGAAGUCUCAUAGUCUCUCACAUGUACUGUUUCAUGUAGUGUUAGUAAAAAAAUAUCUUACGCUUGAUUUGAUUAAAUUAGCAAGCAGUGCCAAAGAAGUGGUAUGUGUAUUUCGUAAAGAAGAAGCAAGGAAUCUCCGAAGGGAUAUCGGAUUCGCAAGCAUAGAUCAAACAUUUCGCGACCAACAAAGUAUAUACAAAACUUCACUGAAACAUACAAAUAAAGCAUGGCGCACAACCCUCUAUAUAUCAAAGAAGCAAAACCACCAGGUUUAGGGUUAGGGUUUAGCCGAGGAUUUCAAGUCAAAGUGAAAAGUAAAAAACUACCAAAUCACACAACAAAAUGUAUUUUAUCAAUCCAUUGGCGUGUUGUGCAGCCGCUUUGAAGAUAGUACCAAAUCUUAUAAAAAUAUCAAGUAUUUUACCAAUCCAUAUGAUGGGGCUGCAAGCCGCACAAUUACAGCGCUUUAAAAACAAUACUAAAUCUUCUAUUCUUAAAUAGCUAGAACCCAUUAUCCAAUUUUUCUCUUCAUGCAACAAUGCCACAUCAUCAAAUCAUGCAUGUAGUUGUAAGUUACUUUUUUUAUUAAUCUCUUCAUGCAAAACAUAUCCUCAUGCAUGAUUUUUUUUUCUAGGUAAUUAAACAAGAUAUUUUUAUAAUGGUUUUUGCAUUUUCAUUAGUUUUUUAACAUUUAUCCAUAUAUUUUUAACAAUUUUUUCGCAGCAACGCGCGGGACAUUGUCUAAUAUUACAAACAAAUCAAGUAUUUUACCAAUCCAUAGGGCGUGGCUUACAGCCGUACAACUACAUGCUCUGGUCACAAUUUAUAAGAGUUGCUCGGCCGCACAAGAAUGGAAGAUGUCUACACAACAAACCAUCAAGGAUAAGAGUAGAAGAACUGCUUCAUCUCUGCACCACUACAUCAACUUCUCCCUCUCCCUUCCUGACUCUCACACAUGUNNNNNNNNNNNNNNNNNNNNNNNNNNNNNNNNNNNNNNNNNNNNNNNNNNNNNNNNNNNNNNNNNNNNNNNNNNNNNNNNNNNNNNNNNNNNNNNNNNNNCCGACGGCCCCGAUCGGCUGGGCAGGAAACCCUAGCGCAGGAUAGGCUUUCGGCCCGAAAGCAACUGGUCACAGGCCAGGCGGAGGUGGGCCGGCCAAGGACGGGGCGACGCCGGCUGGUAGGCUGAGAGCCCAGCGGGAGCAAGGGCUGGCCAGGCCGGUUUUGGCCUAGUUGCUAGAGGCCGCGAUUUUGUUAUUUUUCAUUUUUGUCCAGUUUUGGACAGAUCUGAGAAUAAAUUUUCUCUGCAUGGUUUUCCAACAAAAAUUAUGUUUAGAAAAUAGAAAAGGAAAAUGCAUUCUUAUGCAAAGUAAAUAGAAGGUCUCUGCAGAAUAAAAGAGAAAUUUUUUCUGCAUAGAAAAAUAGAUGUUUCUGAAAACAAAUAGAGUUUUUCAGAAAAAGAAAAGUUCAUGGAUUUUAUAAUAGGAAAAUAAAGUCCAUGAAUUUUUCUUUUUAACAGAAUAUUUUUUUGUAAAAGUAUAUGAAUUUUCAUAUUCACGUUUUUCCGCUGCAAAGUAAAAAAGGUUUAGUCCUUCAAUUAAAUUGGAACCAACGGGAAAAAUUUAAUUGGAAGAACAGUUAUUAGCAAAGUUUUUCCCUUGUGGGUGAAAUAGGAUUCAAACAGAUUCCGCUAUGACAAUAGAAUGAUGUUUGUUUUAAAGUUAAAUAUGGUAUUGUUAUUUUCUGACCAACGUUGAUGAUAACAAUACUAUAAUUGUAUGAGUCAUCUUAUGUUUAAAGCUUAAAUCUCUGAUAAAUUUUGUAUCAAAGUGAUCAAUUUUCGGAGCACAGAUAAAGAAAUGCAUAUGGUUAAUGAUGAUGAUGAUUAUUUCUUAGCAAAGUUGUUCAAUAGAAAUACUAUCAUCACAUUGUUUAUGAGUUAUAUGCAUUAUUUGUAUUUCUGCCCAACGGUGAUAUGGAAUUAAUGUAGAAGAAUGAUGUUUUAUUCUAAUUCUGCCACAACGGUGUUUUAGAAUAUUCCAGAAAGUUUUAAAAGGUUUAAUGUGCAUGAUUUUAAUCAGACCAACGUAGGGUUAUUUUUAUGCUCAUUACCGUUGUUUAUUGGCUAAGUUUCUCAGACUAAAAGUUAUUCAAGCUUUCACUCAUGAAAGCGAAUGUUUGGGCACUACUGACCCGAAAGAUGGAAAAGAAAGGUCAUAACUUGAGGGAAUAAAUUCUCUCUAAAGAAUGGCUUCAAAAGAAAAGAACUCUUGAAUAUUAAUUCAAGAAAAGAAAAGAGAUAGAUCAUUGAGAGUCUUGGUUGACGAAUGUCUUUCAUGUACUCUCUAUGAUGGAGUCUCCUUUUUUCAGUCAACGUGAUUGAAAUGAAACAAGCAACAUGCAUGCUUAAUUUGACCAACGUCGGAUCAAACAUGUGUGUCAAAGAUAAUUCAGAUUUAUUUCUGAAUUUGAUGCAGUCAAAAGAGCCAAUUAUGGCAUUUAUGAUGUCCCAUAAAGGGAAUUACCCGCAUGGCGGGAAAAGUCUGGGAAGAAUGCCUGCGUAACCGGGUAAAGUUGACAUUGUAUUAUGUCAACAAUCCGUGUAUGGCGGGAGAAAUUUUGGCAAAGGUCUUAUCCUGUAUGACAGGAGAAAGUUAUGAUGACUCAUGUGUGGUUAAUGUGUCCCACUAUGGAAGAAAAAGUAUGGAGUAGCUAUUAAGCUUUCCUAGUAUUGACCGUACACCUUAUGUGUAACGGUCAUUAUGCAAUCACUAAAUCCAGAAAGGAUAAAAGUAACAGACGAACCUAAAGACAAGAAUGAUAUGCAAGUGUGACUUGCAAAAGUGACAACUAUAAAGAACUCUCUUGAGUUUCGAAAUGAAAUGAGGAAAAAGUACUCCCAUAGUAGUUAACUUAUAACUUCAUUUUACAUGAAGUGAUAAGAUGAAUGAGCUAGAUAAUCGAAGUUUCCUCAUUUCACAAGAACUAUGAAUGGGUUUCGAAAUUGUGGCAGAAAAGUUCUUGCCACAUUUCGAGGGGGAGAUAGAGACAUGAAAUACACUACAAUGUAUUUCAUGACUCCUCUGUACUUUAGACGAUGUGAUGCACAUUAUGCAUCUAAAGUGAUCCAUUAAUGAAGAAUGUGAUUGUCAAGGGGAGUACGACAGUCAUCUGAAUACCUUCAUUAUGAUACCCCUAAAGAAAAGAAACAGUUGUAUUUUCGGAUCUUUUAUAGUUCUGAAAGCAGACUAAGGAAUACAACAGUGGUGCUUAAAGUGCCAUAAAGAAGAAAGUUUAAAGAUACGUCAUUUCUUCAGUGAAGAUGGAGUAAUCUGGGGGAGCAUGUUGUAUGACCUAUACAACACCUGUUGUUAGCUCUACAAGGGAUCUUGUGAUACAGGUCCCUGUAAAACCUAUUGCCUUUUGAAAAUGGGUGACUGUAGAAUGAAUUUGCCUCUUGGCAAUGACAGAGCAACGACAACCCCAUAUGAAAUUGUUGGAAUUAUGCCCUAGAGGCAAUAAUAAAAGUAUAGUUAUUAUUAUAAUUCCUGUAUCAAGAUAAUAGUUUAUUAUCCNNNNNNNNNNNNNNNNNNNNNNNNNNNNNNNNNNNNNNNNNNNNNNNNNNNNNNNNNNNNNNNNNNNNNNNNNNNNNNNNNNNNNNNNNNNNNNNNNNNNUAUAUAUAUAUAUAUAUAUAUAUAUAUGCUACUUCUUGAGCUUGCGUUGGUUUUUCCCUUGAAGUGGAAAGGGUGAUGCAGCAUUGUAGAGAUAAGUACUUCCCUCAGUUUGAGAACCAAGGUAUCAAUCCAGUAGGAUUAUCAAGAUGAGGCACCUACGAAAGACAAACAAACUUCCACCCAACGCGAUAAAGGGGUUGUCAAUGACUUUACGGUUACUUGCAAAGUGAGAUCUGAUAGUGAUAAUAGGUAAAUAUAAAUAAAUAAAUAAAAGUUUAGCAAGGUAUUUUUGGUAUUUUUGUAUGUAAAUCUGAAUUUAAAAUGUGUGGAGUAGACCCGGGGGGCAUAGUGUUCACUAGAGGCUUCUCUCAUGAUAGCAAGUAUUACGGUGGGUGUACGAAUUACUGUCGAGCAAUUGAUAGAAUCGCGCAAAGUCAUGACGAUAUCUAAGGAAUUGAUCAUACAUAUAGGCAUCACGUCUGAGAUAAGUAGACCGAUACUUUCUGCAUCUACUACUAUUACUCCACACAUCGACCGCUAUCCAGCAUUGUAAAGACUAAGAUGCGGUCCUUUCCGAUUUGGGGAUCGAGGCCCCGAAUUGGAAAGAAGCGCAUCUAAGCGUUUCGCAAACAUGGUAACAUANNNNNNNNNNUAUAAAUAAUAGAGGAUGACAAUAAGGGAUUCAACUGUCAUCUCAUAAAAUAUCUCAGAGUUUCAUCACGCAUUCAAAUAAGGUAGUUCUGCUACGGACUACAAAACAAGGGGAAUGACUAUGCUGCCCUGCAUGCUUGGCCAUGAUCAUGACCACGCCUCAAUCUUUUAGAUAGUUCACGUACGGGCGGUCGUUCUCCUCUCGUACAGCCACGCCAGCUGCAUGCCAUCGGGAUCACCUGUCUCGGGGGUACCUGAACCUGUUGGUGUUGUGAAGGAAUCUGUGAGCCAUGGGGACUCAGCAAUCUAUGACCUAUGUGCCAGAACUAGUCAAGUUAUUAGGUUGGAAAGGUGGAGUAUUUAGGUUGCAAUAUUCUAAGAUUAAUAUGGUGGCUAACUUACAUGGAACAUGUAUGAAGGUGGUCUAUACUAGCGUUCGAUGAUAGUUGAUCACUAAGUGAUCUUGAACACCUACCUACGUCAAUCAUAACCCCACCGUGUUCCUGAUCAAAGAGAGAUCUUCGAGGGGACAGUCACAGUUACGCGCACAGUUGGCAAUUUUAUUAGCUUAUGUUUAAGUUAUCUAUUACCGGAUGUUAACAAAUAUUCCAAGUUGCCACAUAACCACGGGCACGACUUUACGAAAGAUCAAACCCUACAGGGGUGCUCCAACUAGUCCAUCACAAACGUACACGGGCCGCAAAGUAAUCCUCUAUCACGAAUCUCGUGAUCUCGUCGGAUUCCUUAGAGGAAAACCUCAACUCUGGGGAGAACCAAAGCUUCACCGGGAUUCCAAUACGCAAGAUAUAUUCCUAAGGUAAGACAAGACUAGCAAGACCUCCCGGUGUGUCGACGACCAUGAUAAGACCCGCGUAUCUCAGUCUCAGGACAACACCGUCUAUGCAUAGUGGACAAGGACCAAACCUCAAGUCUCCUUGGGGUGGUAUUGCCGACUGCUAGGUGGGUGGACCAACACUCAUGGGGAGCACUGGCUCGGGUUGUUGAUUAAAUUCCUCGGGGUAGCUAUUCCCUAUGCAGAUUANNNNNNNNNNNNNNNNNNNNNNNNNNNNNNNNNNNNNNNNNNNNNNNNNNNNNNNNNNNNNNNNNNNNNNNNNNNNNNNNNNNNNNNNNNNNNNNNNNNNCAUAUGUGCAAAAUCACUAGAGCAACACAAGCUCUUGCACAUAUGCCCAUCAAGGCAUAACUUGGCAUGAUAUGUGUGUGGACAUACUCAUAUCAGCACCCACGCACUCACAUAGGAUCUAGCAAAUCUAUAUAUACAUGCACUCAACCAACAAUGCACUCCUACACAUCUAAAACUACACAUGCUCUCCAACACAUGAUAUAGCUACAUAUGCACUCCUAGUGCAAACACACACACAUGCAUAUGACUUGAUACACAUGCACAUGCUCCUGCAAGAAACCUACACCAACAUAUAUACAAGUUGUGUGGGAGGGGAAAACCCUUCACACACACACACACACACACUCACAUGCACCAAAGGCACAAGCACCACAUGACAACAACAUCUACCAUGCAUAAACCCAGGGGUGGAGCUGCGUAGUUGCUCCCUGAUGCACAGGCAUCAGGGUCAAAAAAAUUGUCCAGUAGUGAUUAGCUUCAGUAAUACGUGUGUGCAUCAGGUUACACUUAUUAUUGUGCAUCGGGGAACAGAAAAUUUCUGCGAGCGACAUCUUCCGUUCAGAUGGCCUUUUGGGCAUGGAAGUUGUGAGCCUUUUGACAAUAGGCCCUAGAAGGAAGAAGUUAAUUGAUGUAGGAAGGCGACAACCAGCCAUGCGAGCCAGAAAUCAAUUUAUCGCCGAAACACACAGCCGCACACGCACAAGCGACUAGUCUCAUUUCGAAAAGAAAAAACGGUAGAUAGGCGGACAGCAAUGACUCUCUUUUUUUCAUUUUUUGAUGUGCAAUUUUAUCCAGGCAUGUUUGUACUUAUCAAAUGUACGUAGAUUAUGCCUACUUUUAUUUAGCCAUUCUAUGUUCUGUUGAAAAUUUGUAGUAAACUUUUGGCCAUGUAGAUUGUUGAACCUUUAUGUCUGAUAGUGUAUUCUGAGAUCCGAAAUUAAAAUAUUUUUCCAAGUGAUUUUUUCGUUUGUUUUCAUCAUUCUAGUAAAAACUUGGUGUUACUUUUGUUUUGGUUUUUGCAUUAAUUUGCAUUAUGUUCGUUAGUCUAUGCUGAUGUACAAUACAUGUUUUUUAUUUGGUGCACUCUUGCUAAGAAAUUUACGCCACAUUGAAAUGGUGCAUCAGGGUGACUUUAGGUCCAGCUCCGCCCCUGCAUACACCCUUGUUAGCAACACAUACACCACAUACAUGAUGUUUUUAAGGAGAGGCUAAAUCUCCCCCAUGGUGUGAGGCACACCAAAGCUACAUCUACACAAGCCCAAGGUGAACAACACAAGGAUAAACAAAGCACAACAAAAAAAUAAAAGGUGGGGCAGGAGGGAUCGAACCCUCUACCCCUCUGGUACUGCCCACAGGUACAAACCACCCUGCUAGUGGCCUUGUGCUCAACAGAAUAGAGCAGCCUAGCAAGCUAAACUACUCUGCUGCGCUAAACUACUAUGCCGAAGAAAAAAAAAUAAAAAAGUGUGCCGAGGGGGGAUCGAACCCGCAACCUCCUACUGGCAACAACAACACACUACCACUACGCUACGCAUCAAUCCUUACCAUGUAAGAGGAAGUAACCCUCUUGGGGUAACCCCCCUCUGUUCCUGCACCACAUCCGCGGCGGCCGGAACAGGGGACGGCAAUUGACGGUGAUGCGCGCCUAAUCGAGCUGCGGCUGCUUGCGGGGAGGAAGAGGAGACCACCAGGGUCUCAUUCCCUUGUCGAACCUGGCGAGAAGAAGACCACUACGAUACCUCCAUGACGCAUGGCUAUGCGGCGGCAACGGAGACAGGAUGGCGACGCUAGGAGUCUAGGACGCUACGCGCGAGGGGGAAAAGGCGGAGGAGGGUGAGCUGCUCACCAUGGAGCGUCGGGGCCGCUCUGCUUGACCGAAGGGGAAGAAGGGGAAGCGGACCGCACGACCUGCAGCUGCUCCGUCGACGACGACACGGAGGGGACGCCAGGAAGAAGGUCCGGCCUCGCUAGCGCCAGUAAUGGAACGGGGGAAGGUCCCCCAUCCUCGCGGGCGGCUCGGUCUCGACGGAGACACGGCGGCGGCGAGGGGAGGGACGGCAAUCGACGACGCGUCUCUCUGAACCUCUACUUUCUCUGAAUCUCACCGGGGCUUAGUGUGCAGAGGAGAGGGGGACAGAGAUGGGGAAUAGAAGUGGCGGCGCUAGGAGGGGAGGACGCGGAACCCUAGACAGGCAAGGCACACACGUCGAGGUUAAAUAGAGGCCUUGACGUCCGUGAAGCUCACGGCGUUACACGCCCUCUCUCACACACGUGAAGGGUUUUCCAUUUACAGAAAAUACAGAGAAGAAAAGAAUGCAAAGAAAAAUCUAUAAAUGCUAAAAAUAAUACUAGCACACCCCUGGACGUGAUAAAUUAUUGCCUAUUUGAAUAAAAUACAAAAGAAAUAUUUGGGGCAAUUAAAUAUUUACAAAACAACAAUUGUUUGAUCUGUUUUAUAAUUAUUUGCACCUUUUAAACACACGUUCAAAACAGCAACUUCACAUCUCCACAUCCAUCUCAAAACAACCCAANNNNNNNNNNAAAUCAGGGUAGGCUCAAGUGAAUCUUGAGCUUGGAAUAAAAGGGAGAGGGAAGGGUUUUUAAAACCUAAGCAAAUCACAAGGUAGUUUCUACUAACACAUGCAUACUCCAUGUUGGGGAACGUCGCAUGGGAAACAAAAAAUUUCAUACGCGCACGAAGACCUAUCAUGGUGAUGUCCAUCUACGAGAAGGGAUGAGUGAUCUACGUACCCUUGUAGAUCGUACAGCAGAAGCGAUUAGAGAUCGUGGUUGAUGUAGUGGAACGUCCUCACGUCCCUCGAUCCGCCCCGCGAACAAUCCNNNNNNNNNNCCUUUUGUCUUCUACUCGAAAAGACAUCUACGCAUGAACCUAGCUCUGAUACCACUGUUGGGGAACGUCGCAUGGGAAUUUAUUUUUUCCUACGCGCACGAAGACCUAUCAUGGUGAUGUCCAUCUACGAGAGGGGAUGAGUGAUCUACGUACCCUUGUAGAUCGUAGAGCAGAAGCGUUAGAGAACGCGGUUUAUGUAGUGGAACGUCCUCACGUCCCUCGAUCCGCCCCGCGAACAAUCCCGCGAUCAGUCCCACGAUCUAGUACCGAACGGACGGCACCUCCGCGUUCAGCACACGUACAGCUCGACGAUGAUCUCGGUCUUCUUGAUCCAGCAAGAGAGACGGAGAGGUACAAGAGUUCUCUGGCAGCAUGACGGCGCUCCGGAGGUUGGUGAUGAUCUUGUCUCAGCAGGGCUCCGCCCGAGCUCCGCAGAAACGCGAUCUAGAGGUAAAACUGUGGAGGUAUGUGGUCGGGCUGCCGUGGCAAAAGUUGUCUCAAAUCAGCCCUAAUACCUCAGUAUAUAUAGGAGGGAGGGAGGGGAGGAGGCACCCUCAAACCCUCAAGGUUUGGGCGAAAUUUGAGGUGGAGGAGUCCUAUUCCAAUCCUACUUGGAGUAGGAUUCCACCUUCCCACUUGGAAACUCUUUCCACCUUUUGUUUUUCCCUUCUCAAACCUUAUGGGCCUUAGUGGGAACUUAUUCCAGCCCACUAGGGGCUGGUUUAUCUCUUCCCAUAGCCCAUGAGACCCCUUGGGGCGUGACACCCCUCUUGAUGGUCCCUGUCACCCCUCCCGGCACUCCCGGUACACUACCGAUGAGUCCGAAACUUUUCCGGUAAUGCCCGGAAACUUUCCGGUAACCAAAUGAGGUCAUCCUAUAUAUCAAUCUUCGUCUCCGGACCAUUCCGGAAACCCUCGUGACGUCCGUGAUCCCAUCCGGGACUCCGAACAACAUUCGGUAACCAACCNNNNNNNNNNNNNNNNNNNNNNNNNNNNNNNNNNNNNNNNNNNNNNNNNNNNNNNNNNNNNNNNNNNNNNNNNNNNNNNNNNNNNNNNNNNNNNNNNNNNGUGGAGAUCCUCUCCCCUUCACGCGACAUGGUUGGGGCGGGACGGACGUUCGUGAGGAGGCACCGCACUAGCGCACGGUGCGGCGGCGCGGCACACUACAAGAAAUAUGCUCAUACAUGAUGUUUUUUAAGACGUCGUUGAUGAAUUCGUCAUAAAUCUGUGACGAUUUCAUCCGAGAUUGUCGUAAACCGUUUGAGGGGAUCAAAUCUACAUAUAAAUUACGACGAUGUGAGUCAAAAACGUCGUAACUGCAUAAUAUGAGAUCGUCAUAACUUUUACGACGAUUAUAAAAAUGUCGUAACAUGUUCUAACUAUGUUGACAUGUCACUCGUGGGUCUAUUCUAUGUCACGCGCCAAACCCGCCUAGUUUGUGAAGCAACCUACUAUUAUGUCAUUCCAAGAAUUCUCAAAAAAUUAUCAUAAAUACUUUGGAUCAUAUAUUCCUCAAAUAUGUUAAAACCCUUUCUUCCAUAGUUUGAAAAUAAUUCAGCAAUAUUCAUUUUCCUAUUCUGUUCAGAAUAGCACUUUGUGAAGGAAGUGUUAUUUCUAUUUUUUUGAUUACCCUCAUAUUUUUUAGCACUAUUUCCUAUCCAAAUCAUUGCCUCAUGAAAACUUUCGUAACAAUUUGCGUAGUAAAUCUUUCUCAGCAAAUUUCCAAAGCUUGUGUUCAGCUAACAACUUUGUGAAGGAAGUACUAGAUAGGAAUAUCCUGAUGAGUUGAAUUUUUGCCACAUCUUCUAUGUGUCCAAAACAUAGCUCUCCACAAAAGUUUAGCCCCAUCUGACAAUCCAUGUGAGCUCAUCAUCCAAUCUUUGUUUCUGCUAAUAUUUUUAUUUUGUGAAGCAACUACAUUUUAUAUUGCUUUAUAGUUGAUGAAAAUUUACCACGGGAUGAAACUGACCAUGUAACCUCACUCCACCAAAUUUUAGCUCAUUUAAUUUAGCCAGAUUCCCUCAAUAUUUUUUCCAAUAUUCUGUUUAGUAGAGAGCAUUGUGAAGGAAGUACAAUUUUUGUUUAUCCAAAUUUUAUGAAAUUUUUACAAUGCCUUAAUGUGCCCAAAUUAUCAUCAUACACCAAAUUUCAACUCAAUGCAUUCAUUCAUUUGAUCCCAGCUUCGACAUACAUAUUUCUGCAUAGUGUGGUACUUUGCAAAGCAAGUGCCACCUAUGUUCAUUCAUUUGAGCUAAAAAUUUGCCACGAGAGUCUCCUUAGUACAUAAUCACCCUCAGCCAAAAUUUAGGCCCAUUGUCUAUGUUCAUUACCCGCACCGCUAAUCAAACACUUGGCUGCUAAUUCAUGUUUGAGCUUAGUUCGGUCUCCUCGUGAGAUUCUUCUAUUGUAUUCUUCUUCCGGACACCUACCGAGGGAGUGUCCAACCCACCUGACAUGCCUAUUCCACCCAGAAUGCGUGGCAACGCAACGGUCAGCCGGUGACCAUGCGGCUCGCAUCCAAGUUCACGCGCUCUGCAGUUGGGGCCCUCGACCACCAUCCAAACCUCGGCGUCAAGUCACCACACCAUGUAAUUAUAAUUAAAUAGAUACUUAUGUACCUAUAAAUGAUUUUUGGGAAAAACAAAUAGCAAAUUAUAAUGCACCUGCAGUUCAAAUUUGACCCGCUUCCAACUGAAUCGACAUAAAUUUGUCAUUUUCAUGAGAGGUGGAUAAAAGCAGUUAACACCCAACCAUUUUGUCAAUUGUUCAUUAAAUAUGUCCUAGUAUUUUAUAAAAAUGAUAUGGUCCAAUUUUGAAACAAAUAUAUGGUAGGUCCUUCACAAAAAAAAUCAUUUUGAGCACUUGAAAAAUGGAAAAUAAUUUUUACAUAGAAGGAAAAUGAAAACUUUCUUAAUCAACAUUGUUUGCCAUUCUAAUAUGCACUCCUGUGCAUAAUAUUAUAUCAUUUGAACAAACUAUGUCAUGAAUGUGGCUAUAAGAUUGAUCAUUUGGCUUGAAAGUCAUGAAUCUUCACACAUGAUAGCCCAUUUCAAAGAACACCUUUUCAAAAUAAUCACCGUAUUAAAAGUUUAUUAUUUUUCCUGGUAACUUGUCACAUAUUAUGACACAACGCGGAGGUUUUCCAUUUUUUUGAUUUUUUGUUUGAAUUUUCAUUGCCAUUUCAAAAUGUUGUCGAAAUGACGGGCAUGACCGUUCAUAGCUAGGGGUUGAAUCUUGCCAAAUUUUUGUUGGAUCUAUGAUUAAAUAGAUACUUAUUUAUCUAAAAAUGUUUUUUGUAAAAAAUCAUGAGAAAACUAUGAGGCACCUCUAGUUCAAAUUUGACCCGCUUCCUUCUGAUUCGGCAUUAAUUUGUCUUUUUCACUAGAGGUGGAUAAAAGCUUUUAACAUCCAACCAUUUUGUCAAUUGCAAAUUAAAUAUAGCCUAGUAUUUAGAAAAAAUGAUUUGAUACAAUUUUGAAACAAAUAUAUGUUAGGUUCUUCACAAAAAAACUCAUUUUGGGCACUUGAAAAAUGGAAAAAUAUUUUUACAUACAAGGAAAAUGAAGACUUCCUUAAUCAGCAUUGUUUGUCAUUACAAUAUGCACCCUUAUGCACAAUAUUACAUCGUUUCAACAAACUAUGCCAUGAAUGUGGCCAUAAGAUUGAUUAUUUGGCUUGAAAACCAUGAAUCUUCACACAUGAUAGCACAUUUUUGAGAACACUUUUUUAAAAUAAUUGUUGUAUUACAGGGUUAUUAUUUUCCUGGUAUCUUUGUCACAUAUAAUGACACAAUGCAAAGGUUUUCCAUUUUUUUGAUUUUUUUUAAAUUUUGCAUGGCCAUUUUAAAAUGCGGUCAAAACGACCGGUAUGACCGUUCUUACCUAGUGGUUGAAUCUUGGAAAUCUUUUGGUGUUUCUCUGAUUAAAUAGAUACUUUUGUACCUAUAAAUGAUUUUUGGAAAAAAUAAAAAUAAAUAUAUAAUGAAGCUACAGUUCAAAUUUGACCCGCUUCCAGCUGAAUCGAUGAAAAAUUGUCUUUUUCACGAGAGGUGGAUAAAAGCUUUUGACACCCAACCAUUUAGUGAAUUGUACAUUAAAUGUGGCCUAGUAUUUUAAAAAAUUGGUUUGGUCCAAUUUUACAACAAAUAUAUGGCAUGUCAUUAAUAAAAAAACUCAUUUUGGUCACUCGAAAAAUAGAAAAUGGUUUUUUUUUACGGAAAGAAAAUGCCACCCCAAAUCAACAUUGUUGGUCAUCCCUAGAUACACACAUGUGCAAAACAUUGUUUCAGUUCAACAAACUAUAAGAGGUUAAAUGUUACCCUGAAUAAGAGGGUAAAAACUAUAAAAGAAAAACAAAAAACAAAAUUUUACUAGAUGAACUCUGAUUGGUGAUAUCAGUUGUGACAUGGAUCAAUGACAUGGCAAGCAUCCGUCCGUCCAUCCAUCCAUAUAUCCGUCCCUCCGUCAAUCCUAGCCCUCUCUCUCGCGCAGAAAACACCUCCCUCUCUCUCACGUUCAAACCCUAGCCUUGCAGCNNNNNNNNNNNNNNNNNNNNNNNNNNNNNNNNNNNNNNNNNNNNNNNNNNNNNNNNNNNNNNNNNNNNNNNNNNNNNNNNNNNNNNNNNNNNNNNNNNNNUCCGAUCUAGAGGGAUGCACUGAAGCGAUGGGAAGUCCACCGCCGCCGCUACCGCAUCUCUCUCUGCUUCCCCACCGUCGCCACUACGUCACGACGGUCACCGGAGGGAACUCAUCGAGCACGGGAUAAGGUAACAUACCACUACUCUCACCGAACACAUCUAGCCUUGUCGAUCCACGAGAUCUAUCAAUGGUAUGAGGAGCCACGAGGCUUAGAUGUGUUUUCGGUUGAAACACGACAAGGAUAACAUUUCCCCUCCCCGAUAUGAACCCUAGAUGGGCAAAGAAACCGAAGAUGGCCACGGGCCUCGUCGGCAAAGUAGCGCCGCCGCAAGGCCGCGCNNNNNNNNNNNNNNNNNNNNNNNNNNNNNNNNNNNNNNNNNNNNNNNNNNNNNNNNNNNNNNNNNNNNNNNNNNNNNNNNNNNNNNNNNNNNNNNNGCAUCGGCAAGCCGAGGUGUGGGGAAGAAGAACCUACCUUCUCAAAGGCAAAGUAUGGAUCUGAAAAGAUCCAAAAGGAAAACAAAGAAAGGAUAUGAUUAGAUCCAAAAGAAAAAGAAAAAACAAAAGAUCGGAUUGGAUCCGAAAGAGCAAAAAAAAAGGGGGGGGAUGCAAAGAAAAGGCCUACACCCCAACCGGGGCAAAGGGCACCACCACCGCGCCCUUGAUGGUGGCGCGUUCACCUUGAAAGUGCUCGCGCGUGCCGGCAAAGGAACGGAGAUGGAGCCACCGUAUCAUGCCGCUGUGCCAUAUCUCUACACGGCAAGGAAAAGGAGCACCACGGCCAACCCACUCGACGGCGGCGCGCUCACCGCAAGGGAACGCGCAACCGGCGAAAGGGGAGGCCACGGCGCCACUAUCUCUUACUCUGCCGACGCCUUGGUUCUCUCUCUNNNNNNNNNNNNNNNNNNNNNNNNNNNNNNNNNNNNNNNNNNNNNNNNNNNNNNNNNNNNNNNNNNNNNNNNNNNNNNNNNNNNNNNNNNNNNNNNNNNNUGUCCACCUCUUCUGCGUCGUCCCGCGGCAACAGCUCGUCCAUGACGACCUACUCUUCCACUACGACGACGGCGACCUCGCCGCCGACCUGGCCCGGUCCGAGGAGUCCGUAUUGGACGCGCGUCGUGGGGUGUUCGACGAGGACGAGCCCUGGCAACGCAAGAUCCAGCGCCUCCUCCCCGCCGACGGAAUCACAGUCAAGCACAUCAGGUGCGAGUUUGAUUGUUUCCUCAUGAGGAACUUUUCUGUGGUUGCUUGCCUGAAUGAAAUCAGUACAUGUUCAGAUAACUGAAUUAUACAUUGUUGUGUGUAGUCUUUGUCAGAAAUAUAUACGGAGUACUACGGUACUGACAGACACUAGUGGGGACAGGGCCUAUAGCCCCGGCCCAUAAGGGGCUUUAGUCCCGGUUCACCAACCGGGACUAAAGGGGCGGGACUAAAGGCCUAACCUUUAGACCCGGCCCUGUUACAAGCCGGGACUAAAGAUGCUCCACGUGGGCGCCUCGUAGCGCCCCACGGGCAGGACCUUUAGUCCCGGUUCGUUACACGGGCCGGGACUAAAGAUUUUUAGAUUUUGCUGGUUUUUGGGUUUUUUUUGAAUGAAAUUAUUUUUGGGUUUUACGGUUUUAGGGUUUAGGUGUUCGGGAGAUUAACGUGAUGCCUCGUUUGGUUUUCGGGAAUUAGUUUUCAUAUAAUUUAAAUAGAAAGAAAGAUGCACAUAUAUAUAAGAUUAACUUAUCUUACAAGCGAGCAUAUAUAUACAAUUAUAUGCAGAUCUGAAUUAUCGGGACUAGAGCCCGUCUAUUCGAUUACAUGGACGAACAUCAGUAAUGGCCCUUAGCUACACUAAAUCGUCCUUUGUCAUCUAUAGCUUCCGUCCUCAGAAAUCCCGCAAGCUCCUGUGCAACAGCAAUCGCGCGUUGCUCUGGUAGGACCUUCGUCCUCAUGGCCGUGUGCUAUAUAAGAAGAGGAGAUGAAUAUGAAUAUCAAUCAUGAUAACAAAGAAUGACGGGUAAAAAUAGAGGUGUGAAUGUUCAUUNNNNNNNNNNNNNNNNNNNNNNNNNNNNNNNNNNNNNNNNNNNNNNNNNNNNNNNNNNNNNNNNNNNNNNNNNNNNNNNNNNNNNNNNNNNNNNNNNNNNUACGGGGGCGACGGGGAUAUGUUCGCGAAGUUGUUGCUCGCGGACAUGAGACACGUGGAUGUGGAGAGGGAAAUUUAAGGCAUGAUCGGUCACUGUCUACGGACACGCCGAACGCGUCCAUGGACAUUUGAGGAAUCAAAUUUGCAAGAUCCGACUAUAGAUGCUCUUACACCAGCCAGUAGUUACCGAUUGGCAAUCCACCGUCCAUCAAUUUCACUAAUAUCUGUGACACGAUAUAAAGUUGUAAAUCCAUUAUCUGUCCUAUACUCAAUAAAUACAGACAAGACUGGCAUGCACUCACACAUUUGUAUCAAAAUACAUGCAUGUCAUGCAGCUUUGUACAAGAGAGAAAGUUGGGAUGGAGACCGAUUCAUGCACGAUUCUCUCUCCCCACAUAAAUGACAUUGACGUUCCGAACAAGAUCAUNNNNNNNNNNCCACGAUAUAAAGUUGUAAAUCCAUUAUCUCUCCUAUACCCAAUAAAUACAGACAAGACUGGCAUGCGCUCACACAUUUGUAUCAAAAUACAUGCAUGUCAUGCAGCUUUGUACGAGAGAGAAAGUUGGGAUGGAGACCGAUUCAUGCAUGAUUCUCUCUCCCCACAUAAAUGACAUUGACGUUCCGAACAAGAUCAUGUUGAAUGAUAGGGCAUUUUGAAUGAUUGUCCUAUUUUAGACCAAUGCCCAUUUUUGAAACCUUUUAUAUAUUUCAAAUCAUGUUGACAAGACGUUCCGAACAAGAUCAAUACUGGUUCUAUUUGAAUUACUUUUUAUUUUUUAUAUUUCAAUUGUCUUUUGAAUCACUUUCAUAAAACUAAAGAUACUUUUGUUAUUUCAUACAAGUGUUAAUGAAUGUUGUGUUAAUUUAAAAAAUGUAUUUCAUCAUUUACAAAAAACUAAUUUCAGUCAUUUUAAACAUUCGUUUCACUUAUUUUAAAAGACACAUUUCACUGAUUCGAGAAAAUAAUAUUUCACUCAUCUCCAAAAUAUGGAUCUAGGGCCAUCAAAAAUGAAGGAUUUAACUCAUCCCAAAAUUUAUUUCACACAUUUCAAAAAAUUGAUUUUACUCAGUUCAUGAAACAGCUGAUUUUACUCAUUCGAUACAACUGAUUUCAGUCGUUUCAAUUGAAAGAAAUACAUGUUUCAAUAAUUUUCAUAAUCAAAUUUCACUCAUUUCGAAAUGAAAAUAUUCUUGUUUCAAGAAGCUAGUAUAUGUCAAAUAAAAAUAAACUUAAAAAUAUUUCAUAAAAGUAACCUCACUCAGUUGAUUUCAAUCGUUUCAAAUUAAUCAUUUAAAGUAUUUCAAAAAACCGUUUUCACUCAAUUCAAAAAACUAUGACUUCACAAAACAAAUUCGCCCGCUCCAUAAAACAGAUUUCGCUCGUUUCAAAAAUUAGAUUUCACUUAUUUACAAAANNNNNNNNNNNNNNNNNNNNNNNNNNNNNNNNNNNNNNNNNNNNNNNNNNNNNNNNNNNNNNNNNNNNNNNNNNNNNNNNNNNNNNNNNNNNNNNNNNNNCGUCGCCUACGCCCCCACGUGGCUCGGCCGCUCCCGCGUCGCUAGCAGCCUCUGCAUGUGCGCCUCGGGAUCGCCUCCUGUCUGCUGCACACUCCGCCAUGCCUGUCGGGUCGUCCGACACGCAUGCAGCCGACGAUACUGCCGGCUCGGGUGUUUCACGUUCGCUACACGACUCCUUCGACGAAUCCCCUGUCUCGGCUACAGUACCGCGCCUUCCGCAACAGCUUGCUCGUCCUACACCUCCUCCGCCUGCUCGAGCGCACACACGUGCCCAGGGAGGUAUUCUCAAACCGAAGGUAUAUACUGAUGGCUGUGUACGCUGGGGCUCGUUCUGUUCCACAGGUGAACCACAAAGCCUUGUUGAAGCUCUUGGUGAUACCCGAUGGAAAGCUGCUAUGGAUGAGGAAUUUGCUGCUCUCAUCAAGAACCAGACAUGGCGUCUUGUUCCUCCUGCUACAGGCCAGAAUAUCAUUGACUGUAAAUGGGUUUAUAAAGUAAAAAGAAAAUCUGAUGGCACUAUAGACAGGUAUAAGGCAUGUCUUGUUGCUAAGGGUUUUAAGCAACACUAUGGCUUGGAUUACGAGGAUACGUUUAGCCCUGUUGUCAAGGCUGUCACUAUCAGGUUAAUUCUGUCAAUAGCUGUAUCUCGUAAUUGGUGCAUGCGACAGCUAGAUGUGAAGAAUGCGUNNNNNNNNNNUAAGGCUGCCACUAUCAGGUUAAUUCUGUCUAUAACUGUAUCUCGUAAUUGGUGCAUGCGACAGCUAGAUGUGAAGAAUGCGUUCUUGCAUGGCGUUCUAGAAGAGGAAGUAUUUAUGCGGCAACCUCCAGGGUAUGAGCAUCCUCACUCACCUCACUAUGUUUGCAAACUUGAUAAAGCAUUGUAUGGUCUGAAACAAGCACCUAGAGCCUGGUAUUCUCGUUUGUCCUUCAAGUUGCAAUCCCUAGGGUUUGUUCCAUCCAAGGGGGAUACAUCACUCUUCGUUUAUCAUAAGCAUGGAGUAACUAUUUUUAUGCUGAUCUAUGUUGAUGAUAUAGUUGUUACUAGCUCAUCAAGUCAAGCAGUUGAAGCUCUUCUUAAGGACUUGAGAAAAGAUUUUUCUCUCAAAGACCUAGGUGAUCUACACUUCUUCCUUGGCAUUGAGGUUAAAAAGGUACCCAGUGGGAUCAUGAUGUCACAAGGAAAGUAUGUGCAGGAAAUACUCCAGAGAAUAGGUAUGAAAGGGUGCAAACCUUCUUCUACACCUUUAUCUACAUCUGAAAAAUUAUCUGUCCAUGAUGGGGAAGUACUUGGAGCAGAAGACUCCACCAAAUAUAGAAGUAUUGUAGGAGCAUUGUAGUAUUUGACGUUAACUAGACCAGAUAUCUGUUAUUCAGUAAAUAAGGUAUGUCAGUUCUUGCAUGCUCCUAGUACUACACACUGGACAGCGGUAAAGAGGAUACUGAGGUAUUUCCAAGGGACAAGGAGUCAUGGACUCAAGAUCAGUAAGUCAGAUUCAAUGCUUGUAAGUGCUUUUUCUGAUGCAGAUUGGGCAGGAUGCCCAGAUGAUAGAAGGUCUACAGGAGGCUUUGCAGUAUUUCUUGGAGGAAAUCUAGUAUCAUGGAGUGCUCGUAAACAACCCACGGUCUCUAGGUCGAGCACCGAAGCAGAAUAUAAAGCUCUAGCCAAUGCCACUGCCGAAGUUAUUUGGGUUCAGAACAUGUUGAAUGAACUUGGGAUACGUCAUCCAAAGGCAGCCUCCCUGUGAUAAUCUUGGUGCUACAUACUUAGCUGCUAAUCCAGUUUUUCAUGCCAGGACUAAGCAUAUUGAGAUUGACUAUCACUUUGUUCGAGAACGUGUUGCCGACAAGCUGCUGAAUGUUAGGUUUAUACCUACAGGUGAUCAAGUUGCUGAUGGCUUUACUAAACCGCUUACUCUUAGGCAGUUAGAAGCAUUUCGACACAAUCUCAACUUAGAUAGUUGUGAUUGAGGGGGAGUGUUAAACAUUGUAUAGUUAGGAUACGGUGGUGUAUAAACCGUGUCCAACUCUUUGUAAACCGGUAGGUCUAGAGNNNNNNNNNNNNNNNNNNNNNNNNNNNNNNNNNNNNNNNNNNNNNNNNNNNNNNNNNNNNNNNNNNNNNNNNNNNNNNNNNNNNNNNNNNNNNNNNNNNNGGCGAAAGCCUUAACUUUGUUGGGCGGCGGCGGCGCUCACAACGUCGUUCCCUUCUUGAAGGCGCCUCUUUGGGAAUCUUGGGGCUGGGUGGCGCUUGUGGGUGGUGGGCAACGGCGGUGGUGCGGCCCUAUCCUAGCAUGGAUCUCCGUCCGUUGCUUGGAGAUGGACUCGCGUAGGUGGAGGUUGUCGUUUGGCGUCAUGGUGGCGUCGAUGGCGGAGACACCUGCCAAGGCUGGUACCUCAAUCUGAUAUGAAGAUGGACCAAUGGAAGAUGGCGGUGAUGACACAUGUGAGUGUGUCAGACCGGUUUGUGCCCCGGAUCCGGUAUGUGGCCCGGUCAGGGUCUCCGGCUUUAGAAGUUAGGCUUAGGUGAGAGGUAUGGGUAUUUGGUCCAGCUUGCACCCCUUCAUCAUAUGGAUAGGAGUAGCGACAAAUGUUGCAAAGAUGACGGAUUCAGGCAUAUUGUUGUACUGUUUUGUAAGGUUCUCGAAAAUAAUCAAUAAAAUGACCGCAUUCAUCUUCCAGAUGCAGAUGCCGGGGGUCAUCCUCCUUUUCUAAAAAAAACCAGUACAUCGACUCAGCUAGAGGAUCAAUAUCCUAGGUCCAAGGAAAGAACAAGAACUUUGUAGAUCCAACUAGACAUAUCCUUUUCAUUUAUCGACUACUUUACCACGAAUCAAAUUUUAAGACGAUUUAUUAAAUAUUAUGUAAAAGAACUAAAUAUUUUUUCAAUUCAUGUGGCGCGGCGUGCCGCCGCGCACUACCUGCUAGUUAAUUCUAGGGAGCACCUAGAACUCAGCUAGCUAAGAUUUAUCUAUGGUCUCAUUCACAUGACAUCAUCAUAUAUGUUGGUUGGCUUUUUUUUAUUCUCCCCAUGAUUUCCACAUGCCGUAUUGCUUUUUCAGGCUUGGCCUUUUUACUACUCUUGUCGCCGAUGGCUAGAGCAAACAUACUAACCCAUAAGAAAAGUAUAUACGUCUUACUCGGCUGGCAUGUACAACAUAAUUUUAGUUGCCAUAACACAUUUAUGGAGUGUUCUCUUUGCUGUCCUAAAAACGAGUGUUUUUGCUUUUUUUAGUUUUGAUUUAGUUCAGCAGUAGUCACCAGCAUGAUGCCUCUGGCGCACAGGAUCAAUCCCGGUCUUGUCUCAUGUUUUUUUAUUUUUUUUAUUGAAAAAUCAUCAUCUUUCUAAAUGAUGGAGUUUGUUGUUGUGACUCCACUAUGAAAAUUCAGAGUUGUGACCCGACUAUGAAACUUGUAGUUACGACCCGACUUCAAACUUGUACUUGCGUAUUGAGAUAGACGAACAAAUUGAGAAAAUCAAAAGAACCAACCCAGAUUGAUCUGUCAAGUAUCACUAACUACAACACCCAAGGUAACACUUGCCGCCUUCCUAUUUUUUCGUUUUUCUAUUUCUGAAGCAAGGUUUAUUCGCUAUCCAUAUUUGCUCAAUUUGUUCUUAUGACCCGACUGCAUGCUAGGGAAAAAAAUAAGAAAUGCAAAAACCUCAUGAACCCUUUAUGUUUUUUUGCGGCAAACCCCAUCGAAGCUAUGCAGUUGCGGCAAACCCCAUUGAAAGGCAUGCAAUUGCGGUAAACCCCAUCAAAGACAUGCAGUUGCGGCGACCCAAUUGCAGACAUGCAAUUGCGAUGAUCCCCGUUGAAGGCAUGUAGUUGCGGAAAAAAACACAUGGGAGGGCAUGCAGUUACGGCGGGCACGCGGUCACAUCAUCAACAACAACAAACAACAUCAAUUGGAAGGCGUGCAAUUGCGGCAAACCCCAUCGAAGCCAUGCAGUUGCGGCGACCCCGUUGCAGACAGGCAAUUGGGGCGAUCCCUGUUGAAGGCAUGUAGUUGCGGAAAAAAACACAUGGGAGGGCAUGCAGUNNNNNNNNNNCUUGCGGUGACCCCCGCUGAAGGCAUGUAGUUGCGGAAAAAAACACAUGGGAGGGCAUACAGUUACAGCAGGCACGCGGUCACAUCAUCAAGAACAACAAACAACAUCCAUUGAAAGGCAUGCAAUUGCGGCAAACCCCAUCGAAGACAUGCAGUUGCGGCGACCCCGUUGCAGACAUGCAAUUGCGGCGAUCCCCGUUGAAGGCAUGUAGUUGCGGAAAAAAAUAUGGGAGGACAUGUAGUUACGGCGGGCACGCGGUCACAUCAACAACAACAACAAACAACAUCAAUUGGAAGGCAUGCAAUUGCAGCAAACCCCAUCGAAGCCAUGCAGUUGCGGCGACCCCGUUGCAGGCAUGCAGUUGCAGUGACCCCCGUUGAAGGCAUGUAGUUGCGGAAAAAAACACAUGGGAGGGCAUGCAGUUACAGCGGGCACGCGGUCACAUCAUCAAGAACAACAAACAACAUCAAUUGGAAGGCAUGCAAUUGCGGCAAAAAACACAUGGGAGGGCAUGCAGUUACGGCAGGCACGCGGUCACAUCAACAUCAACAACAAACAACAUCAGUUGGGAGGCAUGCGAAUUGCGGCGACACCGUUGCACGCAUGCAGUUGCGGCGACCCUGUUGCACGCAUGCAAUUGCAGCAACCCCGUUAAAGGUAUUAGCAUAAAUCAUAUUCAAAACACAUUCAAAACACCAGUAUUCGCACAAAAAGCGCAUUACAUCAUAUAUAUAACCAAAGGUGUUUGUUAUAUUGCACUUCUCCAUUUUCGACAUAUACUUGGCCCAAAACCCUUACGGGCAUACAGUUGCAACAAAAUGCCUCGACGACAUGCAAUUCCAACAAACUCCUUUGGAGGCAUGCAUUUGCACAUACAGUUGGAACAAAACACGUGGAGCAGAUGCAGUUGGAACAACCCCAUCGAAGGCAUGCAGUUGCAGCAACCUAGUGGAAGGCAUGCAAUUACACCAAAAAUCGUGGAAGGUGUGCAGUUGACAACCACGUGGAACGCAUCCAGUUGCGACAACCCCCCAUCGAAGGUACAAAAUUGCACUGGCUCCGUCGUAUGCAUGCAAUUGCGACAACCCCUAUAAGACGUGCAAAUGCGGCAAAACCUUGGAAGGCAUGUAAUUGCAACCCCCAUCAAAAAUACAUGCAAUUGCAGCAACCCCGUUGAAGGCAUGCAAUUACAUCAAACCCAUGGAAGGCGUGCAAUUGCGACAACCCCCAUCGAGGGUAUACAAUUAGGACCCAUCUUAAAAACAUGCAAUUGCGACUCAUCUUAAAAACAUGCAGUUGCGACCCCUCUUAAAAAACACAUGCAAUUGCGGCCCACCUUGUAAACAUGCAGUUACGACCCCGUCUUAAAAACAUGCAGUUGCAACUCAUCCUGAAAAUGUGCAGUUGCGACCCCGUCUUAAAAACAUGCAGUUACGGGCCCUCAUGGAAACUUCCAGUUGCAUUCAGGUCAUAACAUUUGCAGUUGCACGUCUAGUGGUGAACAUGCAAGUGACCCCGACAACUCCCCCUCCUGAGCAGAGUUGCGGCCCCUUUUUUCCAAUCUCAAGUUCAUUAUUGUGUUCACAUGGGUAUUUUAAAAAAAUAAAAUAAGAGACAUUUUUUGCAAAACUAAAAACCUAAACAAUCAAUUUGAAAUAUCCAGUAACAAAUGAAUUUUAUUCUAAAGCAAAGUAAAUAUACUAAAGUCAAGAAAAAGAGAAAAUAGGGAAACAAUUGUCUACUCUAUAUAGUGAAAUAAGAAAGAAAAACAGAAGAAAAAAAAUACAACGAUACAUCAUGAGAAGAAGAUAAAAAGAAAAAGAAAUUAAAAUGAGCUUAGCCCUCACCCGCAAAAAAGAAAAAGAAAAAAAGAAAGAACUUAUUACCCCUAGAAGCUAUAGUGAACAAAUGACAAAACAUGCACAAAGCUAGCAGCGUGGCAUCUUUAGACCCCAUCUUUCUUUACGUCGGUUAAUAAAGAAAAGACUCACAAAACUCAGCUCGUUUAAAUAAGCAAAAAGGCCUGGAGAAAACUCAUGCACAUGGCUGAUCCUCCUACGAGACGAGCCGUCCAUCAUGGCUCCCGCAAUUAACAAAAGACAGGGUGAAUCUAGCGAGACAACCAGAGAAACAUAAAGUGACUAUGACCAUACUUAAAACUCAGCUAGCUGAGUUUCAGCAAAACUGUUAAUUCUAUGCGUCUUCACCGUUGUAGAUUAUUAAAGAUUCUAGUAUUCCCUACGAUCAAUUCGAUGUAAACCGCGAUGCUCCACUUAUUUUUUAUGGGGGGGAGCAGUAUAUUAUUUGAACUGGUGAUCGACUUUAUCUCCGACAAAAAGGGUGACCAACUUUAUCUACGCGCAUAGAUAUACGGCAUAUGGUAAUGUUCAAAGGAUCUGCCCUGCACCGAGCCGCUCGCAGAAUUGGAUCGCCGACGGGUUGGCCGUAAACUGGGAGCGCCCGCCCAGACAACUCGCCAACAAAAUUGAGUGCACGCUGAGUGACACUGCACUCACGCACAUGCUCUUAUAUGUUAUCCUACACACGAACACGCUCCGUGCCAAUCCUGAUGGAUUUUAUCAACCUCCGCACAGCCCGCCGGUAUCGGGCCCUGUUUGAUUUCAAUAAAUCAGAUGACUUAGCCCUUAUUUGGUUUCAAAUACCAACUUAUAAGUUUAAAAAUGCAAAAGUGACUUAUUUUGUCAAACAGACCCAACUUAUAAGUCAUCCCAACUUAUAAGUCAUAAGUUGCUCCACCCCAACUUAAAACUUAUAAGUCACCCACUUUUGCAUGAAAAGGUGACUUAUAAGUCAGAUGAGUCAUCUGACUUAAAGGUCACUUAUAAGUCAGACCUUAUAAGUCAGAUGAGUCAUCUGACUUAUAAGUCACCUGACUUAUUGAAACCAAACAGGGCCAGUGACUUUUAAAUCAGGUGACUUAAAACCAGUGACUUAUAAAUCACGCAUGUUUGGUUGUCAUCUGACUUAUAAGUCACCUGACCAUGCAAAAGUGGGUGACUUAUAAGGUUUAAGUGGGGGUGAAGCAACUUAUGACUUAUAAGUUGGGGUGAUUUAUAAGUUAGGUCUGUUUGGCAAAAUAAACUACUUUUUGUACUUUUCAACUUAUAAGUUGGUGACUUAUUUGAAACCAAACGGGCCCUCGGUAUCAAAAACACGGUCUGGCUUGCUUCCCACCGUAUCAAGUGUCAACCCGGCCGCACGCUGGUUGCCCGGCAACCUGUAAAUUCUCGCUCUGCCCAUCUCAUCUCAUAUCGCUCACACUGCUACUCAUCUUAGCCCGUCGGCGAUCUCGCAGAAUUACUGGGCUACUGCCACUACUAGUUCACUUCCUUCCGAUCUCGUGUCGCCAACAUCAAGCUCUCCGCCCGUGAACAUGUCGACGGUGACCCGUCCCUACCUCGACCAGAGGCUCGCCGCCGCCAAGCGCCCACGACUGAUUCCAGCCUUAGCCCAGCAAUGCUAUUCAUUGCGGCGGCUUAUGUUUCUGCUGAAACCUGAACUUGGUUAACAGUCGUACGUUGAUCCCAAACUGCAGAGGCUGCCAUGGCGGGAGCCAAGGCCGCGGCCGUCGCCACCGUCGCCGCCGCAGUGCCCACCGUAAGCACACGUUUAUCAGCCUGCACCACUGAGUUUUUGACGUCGAACGAAUAAUCAUCUCACCGUCUUCUUCUUGCGUGCCUUUUUCUGCAGCUGGCGAGUGUGAGGAUGCUUCCGUGGGCCAAGGCGCACCUGAACCCCGCCGGUCAGGCGCUCAUCAUCUCCACCGUCGCCGGGAUGGCCUACUUCAUCGUCGCCGAUAAGACCAUCCUCUCCAUGGCCAGGAAGCAUUCCUUCCAGGACGCGCCGGAGCACCUCAAGAAGACCUCCUACCACUAAUUAUGUUGUAGAUCAACUAGUGCGCAGCAACCUCUGUACGCCGCCCCGUAGUAGUAGUAUAAUGUUGGGGCGAUCUGGCCCAGUGCGAUGUUUACUGCGAGCAAAGCACUAGUUAUCUGAUCAUGUAUGAAAUGAAAUAAUGUUGCCAACUUCUCCAUCUUAGUAUCUUUCCAGAGAUCUUUAGUUAAUAACAACAACUCCCUCUGUUUCUAAAUAUAAGUCUUCUAAGAAAUUUCAUUAGAGAUUUACAUACAAAUUAAAAUGAGUGAUUCUACACUUUAAAGUAUGUCUAUAUGCAUCCGUAUGUUGUCCGUUAGUGAAACCUCUAGAAAGACUUAUAUUUAGGAACGAAGGGAGUAGUUUUAAUUUCGUACAUCUCUGGUUCAAGUGCCCUCACUCAUCUAAUAUUUUUCUUGUUUGCGAAGAUUACCAUUUAGCAUGCGUACUAAGUACUUCGGAGCAUUGCAAAACGCCGAAAUGACACCACACCACAAGUACAUUUUUUGAUCCCUUUUCCGCCCCUAUUCUGUUUCGGAAUGCAUGUGAGGACAAAGCCAUCUAACCUCGCUCGUUAAAUCUUUUGAUACGGCUUAUUGGAUGGGUUGACAAAUAGGGAUGGGUUUAAAAAUGAAAAAUUUGGCCGUUUUGAAACAAGUGUUCUUUUUUAUUUUGAAUACCGUAACAAGCUUUAUGUAUUGUUAUUUAACAUAAUAGACAGUACAGACAAUGACGUUUUGAAGCGUGUGUUUUUCUUUUAUUUUGAAAACCGUAACAAUCUUUAUGUAUUGUUAUUUAACACAAUACAUAGUAUAGGCGCAGACACUUGUAUAUACACACGUAUACUUACAUGUACACACUCACAUACUAUCUUUGCGAGCAUCUUUGAUAGGUUGAGCCGGUACAUUAUCUUAAAAUUGUCGAAGUUGCUACAUGCGUCAUCAUAGUCGACCAGAAUGCCUACUCCCAUUGAUCGUAUAUCGUCGGAAAACAUGUAAUAAUUAAAAAAACAUGAGUUUUUUGUAUUCGUAAAGCCGUAUGUGCAUGUUUGAGGUGCUUGUCAGCAAAGGCUCAUAAUUAAAGUCGUCAUGUGUAGGUUUGAGGUGUUUAUCACUAGAGACUCAUAAAGCCGUCAUGUGUAGGUUCGAAGUGUUUGUCACCAGAGGCCGGAAUACUUUAACACUUUCUUAAUCGUUCGUUAGAUAAAAGUAUAUCCAUAUCUACGCGUAAGGUCAGGGGCGGAGACAAGGGGGCGAGCAGGGGCCUGGCUCCCCCUAACGGUCGAUAAAAUCUGAAGUACCUAGUGUAUAUUUGAUUGAUAUGUCAUAGUAUGUAAGUAUUUGGCCCCCCUAUCCACGGCCACAUCCAAAUACUGGCUCCGUCACUACGUAAGGUUCAAAACUAUGGUGCGUUGACCCACAGAAAAAAAACUUCUUUAAUAAUACCAUAUGACAAAAUAGUCUCUAUAAUUUGUCAAUUAAAAAUAUGGUACAGAAGGAUAUUUUUGUAAGGACACAUAACGGCAGAGGUGUAAAUUUGAGCAUAUGCUUUGAAAUUAGGGCAAAUCUGAAUUAUGGAUUCAAGUUAGGGACACAAAUUUAAAAGGCCAUUUUUAAAUGUCAAGUUUUAAACAAAAAAUGGUAAUGAAUGACUAAAACUGCCAUGUCGUAAUUGUAUAAUAAUGAGCAACUAAACCUACGAGGUAGUUCUUAUUGGCUGGUUGAUGUCAUUGUAUGCACUUACAAGCGGGAUCAAAUCAUUGGGAAUCAUGUCAACGUACAAUGAAACAAUGAAUUAGAUUAUUAAAAAAAACAAUGAAUUGGAGAUUGCAGCAACAACAGGUUACACCAACAGACUGUAUCUUGUGCAACGAACCUGAAGAAUAAAUGUUGUAUGCAAUAUGGGUGGGCCGCAGACUGGAGAAAAAUGUGGAGAAAUGCCAAAGCAGCUCACGCAUGAAGAGCUAGUCCGGCCGGGGAGCACAUGCCGCCGGUUUCGCCGGAAAACUGGGAGCGCCGCUCGCCGACCGACGGACCGACGAUGACGAGUGGACCCGGAGGCACCUGCUCCGUUUCAUAUUUGUUAUCUUAUCUUACAAAGAACAAAUGCGUCCGGUAGCAAUUAUCUACGUAGUAUUGUGCUCAGAUCAGCACUGUUGUGCCUAACUUUAGAUCUCUCUUUUUUCACCAGCUUUGGUGGGUAAAGAAAGAAAGGCGAUUGAGCCAUGGAGGAUAUAUACCUCUAACAAACAAGCAUCAUCAAAUCCUGUGGAUUGCUGCCAUAGUUUUUAGAUAGCGUGCGGUGCUCCGCCCACCAACUCAGUUGUGUACUCUAAAGUCCAAAUGAGCGGAUCAUAGCAGAGUACCCACGGUUUGCACCCAAAACCGUGCAUGGCGGCAACCUUUUUGCUCGCUAUAAAUACACGGCUAGCUCCUCGUCUGGAUGCAUCGAGCAACAACGAACCAGCCAGCCCACACCAUCUCACUCGAUCGCACUCAGCCGUUUCUGUACAAUAUCACGGUGAAGAUGUCGUCGUCGGCGGCCACCGUCACCCGCGCGUCCCUCGACCACAAGCUCGCCCUCGCCAAACGCUGCUCCAGAGGUAGUAACCACUGACCAGGAUGCACUUCUUCAGAGCUCAGUUGUGUGCUGAUAGUCUGAUACUAGCGGUUCAUUCUUUUUUUUCUUUUAAUCUUUCCUAGAGGCAACGUUCGCCGGAGCAAAGGCUGCGGCCGUCGCCACGGUCGCGUCGGCAGUCCCCACGGUGAGCUCCUCCGUCCAGGAAUUGUUGUUGAUUUCCAUGCACGUUGGACUGUGGUUUCCAUAACUGAACUACUAUUAAUCACGCAGCUGGCGAGCGUGAGGAUGCUGCCGUGGGCCAAGGCGAACCUCAACCCCACCGGCCAGGCGCUCAUCGUCUGCACCGUCGCCGGGAUGGCAUACUUCGUCGCCGCCGACAAGACCAUCCUCUCGCUGGCGAGGAGGCACUCCUACGAGAGCGCCCCUGACCACCUCAAAGACACCUCCUUCGGUGGCGCCGCCGCGGCUCCGGCUCGUCCCCGUCCGCGAUCAUUCUUCAGACCUUGAGCUAGUAGUAGUAGAGGGGCCAUCAAGCAAGCACUUGUGUGAUUAUGGAUGAAAUGAAAUAAUGUUGCCACCUUCUCCAUCUUAGUAUCAUUCCAUAUAUCUUGAGUUAAUAACAACUAGUUUUAAUUUUGUACGACCCUGGUUCAUGUGCCAU
rnacentral:lncRNA from 1 species